rnacentral:lncRNA from 1 species
CAGCUUUAAGAUCUCACUCAUAUCACGAUCGUCAACACCUACAAAUGCCAACUCGUGGAACUGUUUGUGCAUGAGCUAACUAAUGUAAAUAGAGCAAAGAGAUUCGUGGCCAUCUGAAGAAGGCCUAGCCUUGAUUAGGCUAUCCAGAUGAAUUCACAAACUCUAUGGCACGUCCUCAAGUUAUAGAGAGAGUAAAUUUGCUCUUAUUGACAGAUGCUUUAUGUCGUCUAAAGCCGUAUAAUAUUGCGAGGGAGACAUAAAUUCUUAAGGACAGGCAUGACUCAUGACUGACCUCUAUUCCACUUGCCAGAAAAGUGUGGUAUCGUGGGUGUAGUAUAUUUUUGUUUGCUUUGUAUUUUUAUUUGUCCAUUUCAGCUUAACAUCACUCUAAUGUUGUACAGUUUAACAAUUUCCCUGCUACACGUGGAAUUUUGAUCCAUAGAAUGUGAACAGUCUAACAGAUGCAAGUGACCCGGCACUUUGUAGUGGCAUAUCCACUUUUGUCACUAAUUAUAUCAUGACAUCAACUAAAUCCAAACUGAAGGACUAAAAAUACUAUGUAAAAGUUAGGUUUUUUUUCGUUGAAGUUGAAAGUUUGCAUCUCAAAAUGCAAUUCGAUCAAAAAAUAUGGACCUAUUGUAAUUUACCCUAUUUUGCGAGAAUAUUGUUACUUUCGAGGGAACUUAAGUGAUUUUAUGUGCACUAACUGUUGAGGAGCUUUUGCGGAUGGAGAUAAAGCUGGAAAUGUAUUGCUAGCUUUUAGCUCGAUUUGAGUAUCCUUUAGUCGUUAAUACUUGACCUUCAAUCAUCAUAGGUAGAGUGCUUCUAGAUGGGACUAGACUAACUAUUGUUACAAAAAUACAUGAUGCAUACAUAGUUAGCGAGAUGUACGUAUAAGUUAUGUUAGAAAAAGUCCAAUGACGUGGAAUUGCUAUGGUGCGGAAUAGUUAAUAUCUUAGUUGGCCAAAAAUUCAUUGCAUUAAGCUUUUGAGUAAAAGUGGUCUAAUUGGAUAUGUUGAAGAGCUUGGACUUUAGCUCUCUCUUGACUUUUGCUAUGUGCUCCUAAGUGAAUAGUUGAUUGGUGGCAACGUGUUGGUGCAAAAGUAUAAUCGGAUUAAGGGGGAAGUAUACUUAACAUUGAGCUCACACGUAAGAGGAGAUAAGAAUUGAUGUGAUGUGGAGUAGUUAAUAUAUCCUAGUUGGCCCAUGAUUUAUAGGUUUAAGCUUUUGAGCAUAUGUUGGUCCAACUAUAUUUGUUGAUAGGUCGAACUUGGGCUCUCUCUUGGUGAUCUCCUAUAUAAUGAUAUUGGGUUUCUACUAAGCGUUACCAAUAGUGGAUGUCGGAUGUAGCUUUGGAUGGACCUAUUCUUCUCCCACAAUAUCGAGAUAGUUUUAGUAACAGGGUUGUGGUGAGGAAAAAAAAUGGUGCUAAGUCUUCACAAGACAAGUGGAUUAUGAGGAUCGGGAGCAGCAUUGGCAAUGAGAUGGUGGAAAUCGACAAGGAAAACAAAUCCAUUUUUCACGCGGUCAGUAAGCCAAGUUAUCGACUCCUGGAAACGAAAGAAUCGAGGUCAAUUUAGAAGUUUCGAAAUUUCAUUGUUGGUUUGCAGCUUGCGAGAAAUUGUUUCUCGAUGAGCGCAAGUGCAAGAGAGGCACUCCAAUGCGAUUGCAACGUUUAGUGUAACACAUCGACACACCAUGUGAGAAGUACUUGCCUACUAGAUUGGCUGAAUUGUCGUUUUUGCAAGCUAAUACUUGUCAUAGUGAAGAAACAACAAACCAUUCAAGGUGAAACGGAGCCAACGCAUGAUCUGUAGUUGUACAUCCCAAGUGUUCAAUGUUGUAGCAUUGGAAGAAAGGAUCAUAUCUGAAACUGAUGAUGGGCAUGAGAUGAGUGGGUUAUGGAGAGAUUGUUUGAUACAGCUUUUCGAUGGUAGCUACGACCGUAAAACUGGAUGCUUCUGCUUUCGCAAGGUAACAUCUCAAAGCUAUCAUUUGGAACCAUGAAGCUGUCCCGUCUAGCUUUUAGCUGCUAUGUGUUACCAAAUGGUUGCAACUAUGAUUAUACCAAACGGGCCUAAGUUGAACUUCAUAGCCUAUACAGGAUCGGGAGGGAUUGGAGAAUUGCGUCAGUGAUACUUCUCUCUCUUCGGUUGAGUGAUUCAUCUCUUCUUCAAAAGGACCUCUAAUUCUCUAGGGGCAGACUUAAGCAAAGAGCGGAAUUGACUCCUGCAUGCAAGCGUGUACCAGUUUCGUGCUAUAGGAGGGUAUAACAUAUGCUGGAUAAGUGAAAUUUGGGAUCAUGUACAAGUCUCACUUAUUUAUCAUGUUCGAGGUGGAAGUCGUCAUAUGUACAUCAAAAGUGGCUGUGUAUGUAUAUAUAAGGACGAUCAUUCUGAUUUGUAUGUAUCGCAUAAUUGAGAAAGAUGAAUCAAAUAACCUUCAUUCCAACUUCAAAAUCUGUAAAGGCGUCAUUUCUCAAUAUGGAGAAAUAGUCCAGAAACCUUGUAGCUACGCAUUAUAGACAGUUAUUUUGAAAUGAUGUGGUGUAUUAUGCUAAUCAACACUGGCACAACUAGCAGUGGAUGCUGAUGCUGAUUUAACUCCCACAAAUUCGCUGAAUGAGAAGGCGAGUUAAAGCAUCUAAGACACAGAAAAACUACCUAGCUUGCUAAAUGAUUUGGACAUAUAGACCAACAAGAAUUGUGAUCGUCAUAUCACUAACGUUCAUCUAACCAAAAUAACAACAGCAACUUGGAUGGAUGCGGAUCGGGAAAAAAAGACCUACUGCGAGACAAGAUACAGGGCACAAGUCAUAUCUUGCAACAUAAUAUCUUCGGAGCAGUUAAAAAAUAGCAUCUCCUGGUCUUAACUCGCCCAACUGCGGAACAGCAUAGAACGAACACUAGGCUAGAUUCGUGCCCAAGGAAUGAAGUCGUGCAUGAUUGUGCCACAAACAGAGCACAACAAGAAAACCACCUAAUGAUCCAGCGGAACCUCAAAAACAAAGAAGGUUAUGAGUAUGUACAAUCAUGAGGCGAACUCCUAUCGGAUUGUUCAAAAACGUCCCUCUUGCUCGAUACAGUUUUAUAGUUUACCGUAUCACUUGAUGAACAGCAAUUUACAAACCAAUCUGUAUACCCUAUGUCCCCAGCAUUACCGUGGAAGAAAUGAAGAAAUCGUAUCCUGGCCCUAGCAUGAAAAACUGAGAAAUCCAUAUCCUACUGAAAGAAGCAUGGGGAUACAGCAUAGCAACAUGUCUUUGUCCACAAACUGCUAAUAUAGGUUUGUUACAACCAUUCAUCAUCAUGCAAAUUUCACAAGCUAAUGAGGGUGAAAAACGACACCCCCUUGUACAAAAAAGAGAGCCAAUCCAGUCAACAGACACGAAACUGACAUUUUACCACUGCCAACAAGAUGAAGUAAGAACAUCAGAGACAUCGGACAAUAUUCACAUCAAACACAGAGGUAAAGAGACUAAAAUCCAAAGCGCUAGUUCCACAUUUGCAACAGCAAUCGAUACAUCAGCACUCAAACAGGUCUGCGGACGCUAUUAUGGGUUGUAUCGGACAUGGGAUCUGCCAGGGCUUCAUCAACGGGUCGGGAAUCUCGGGAAUAUCAAUCACCAGCCCACUGACCACCUCCACGAUCUCGAGUACCGAGUUCAGGGACCGGAGCCUCUCAGUAAGCUCCAUGGCCUGGGCCCUGAGGACAUUGUUUGCCAACUCGACCUCGGCAUACUUCUGCGCAGCAGCAUUGAUACUCACCACGAGCUGAGCGUUAGCCUGCUGCAGUUGCCCCACUUCUCCGACCAAAUCCCCCAGCUGCUUCUGCCUCCUCAUCCGGGAGCGCCUGGCGGAUUCCCUGUUGGACUCCAUCCUCUUCCUCUUCCUUUCAUCAUCGGCCACCCCACCGAGCCUCGGGUCGCCAUCGGAUCCCGAGCUCGCCUGACGCCGAACCGAACCCAUUUUCGAGGGCCUUUCCCCGCGAUCAAUCAAUCACUCGAUUCGGAAAACGACCGAUCAGAGUGUCUCCGCGUGCCGGGAGUUAACAACGAAUUCCGAUGGAAUCAAAGGGAGGCACGAAUCGCGAUCAAUAGGAGAGAGAGAGAGGGGCGUUCAUGAGAAGACGUAGAACCAGUAGAGGAACACCACCGAGAAGGAGUGGACGAUCCGCACCCGGAACAUGAGGAUCGCGUAGUUCAUGACUCGGUUUCCCACAUCUGAAAAACCCUACACCAUCUACCACAAGCGCUCAACCAGUACCCUCCGAUUCUCAGCCCAACGCAACGAAGGGGAAAACGAAAACGGCGACAACGCAGCGGAAAGACAGCAGAGAGAGAGAGAAGGGGGACGUAAACUUAGCUGGCGGCGGCGGCGGCGGAACGCGCGAACCAGAGAGAGGUCGAAGAAGGUUAAGAAAGGAGGGGAGGAGGGGUUUAUAUAGAGGAGGCUCGCGGGCUUCGAUUGGUCUGCCGGGAAAACGAAUAUUCCCAGAAUCUUUUUUUUUUUUGGGUGUAAUUUAUUAGGACGGAUUUUGCUUAGGCGUGUCCCGAUUGCCCAAUCACAUUCGAAAGUGUAAGAUUAUAUUUCUUUCUUUAAUUAAAAAAAACCGAAAUUACCUUUUUAACGAAUCGAUAAAAGAAGAAAAUACACGAGAUGCUUGAGGAAUAAACAAAUGUGAAAAUUUAUAUCGGAGAUGUGGAGGAAUCUAGAGAUCCUCUUCUGAUUUUAUUUUGCCGGUGGUUUUUUUUAUCUUUUUAUUUAUCGAUGGACAACUAAUAUCUGACUUAAUCUAUUUAUAAAUCUCUUUCUUUACGCGACCGUGUAACCAUAAUACGGGGGGGAACAGAUGUUCUUAAAUUUAAAUUGUUUUUGGUGGGGGAGGGGAAGAAUGACGUCAUGGCGCACGUCUGAUGUGGCGUGGGAUUGGUCGGAUCUCAUCGUCGUCGCGGUAGUUGGUGCUGCCCAUGUUCAAUGUAAUGCGCACGUUGUUUGGGACCUUAUCCAGUAGCAUCACACUUUACAGAGCAGGCAAAACCGUGGGUUUGACCGGGUCAAACAUCGAACGUCGGAUCUUCUUGGAUACAUCCCCCCUGGAAAAAUGCACGCGAGCGCCAAGUUGUGAAAAGGAGAGAUAUUUAUUUUAAUGUUUUCUGUUUGGAGACAUUAAUUUCUCGAUACCUUUUUAUUUUCGUAAAAAAGGACUUGUGCAAUGGAAAUUAGUCGGGAUGCGUAAAAUACAGGCUAAAUCUUGGACUUCCAAAAUUGAAAUUGGAUGAAAAGAAUACAUAAGUGAUUUGGUGAAAGCAGAUAGCCGUUUGGAAAUUAAUGGUGAAAAUAUGUAGGUGGGCUCUUGGUGAGAAAAUAGGGAUAGAAAUCAAAGUGGAUAGUGGAUUUGGGGAUUGCAAACAUUGCAUCAUGAAAUAGUACUAGAAAAAUGAUCAUUGCAAUUUGUUUAUUCCACAAAAAAUGAAUGAUUUGAAAAAAAAAAAUUAUUACUGCAAUCCGUUUAUUUCACAAUAAAUGAAUAAUUUGAAAAAAAUGAACUCAAUGAACAAUACUAAUCACAACCAAGAGCCAACUAUCGGCUCCCAAGGAGCAAACCUAGGACACUGUGCCCAAACUUGCGAUCUUGACACUUUAAUCGAGAAUGACAUAUUUCAUAUUAAGGUUAAAAUUACAUGGUACCGGCACAAGAUGCAACAAACUCAAGAUGCAUAACAUAUAUAUAAGGUCGAACGACAUGAGAUUUGUAAUACCCUUUUUUUUUUCAGUCCAAUCAGAGUUAUAAUAUGUUGGCUAAUCAUUAAUGCUACAUCACAUUAAUGCUGCAUCAUCACUACCAAAUUUAGGGUCGAUGACUAGGCAAGGCUUGCCUCACCAGCCCUUGGUCAUAAGGAGAAAAUAUUAUAUACAAUUUUGAUGUCACUUCAGCAAAAUAUUAGUCCAUUCAUCUUGCGGCAUGUGUCACACGUGAGCCCACUUAUCUGUCACGAUCUCUCUCUCCCCUUCCUUUUGACCCAUUUUUCCUUCUCCAACUCUCUCUCUCCCCCUUCUUUUUGACCCCUUUUCCCUUCUCCAGCCUCAAGCCCAAGCCAUUGCCAUUGCCCACCAUGGCAAAGGGCAUGCUUGAAGUCUCCAACGAUGAGCUUGCUGCCAAUGGAUCCCUAUUUCUUUGUGCACCUUAUGGUGGGGAACCUUGAGUUGAAGAUCCCCAUCACUGCCAAGCCCAUUGGCUCUGCCGUUCACCCAUUGUCCUCUCCUCGCUUUUGCACCAACUUUGUUAAAUGAAUAGGAGAUGGCAAGAAAUUUUUCAGUGCGAAAAGCCUAAGACUUUUUGUUUUUGAAGUGAUUAUUUUUUAAUCGUGAAUGCAUGACGUGCCUGUGACACACCCGCAUUGAGAAAAUAUCAAGUGAGAGCAAGAUUUGAUGAAAAAUACUUCAUUAAACCUUUUAAGUUGCAUCCCAAAGAUACGAAAGCCCAAAAUAUGGGGGCAAAAACAAGAGGAAAUAGAAAGAAGCAGGAGAAAGAAGUCGAAUUUGUUCUUAUUUUUGAAAGCCCAUACCCUUAUGAAGCCCAUCGAUCCUCAUCUUGGGCCGUGAGAGACCCGCCGUUCCCCCGACCCGACUUGAUUUUCUUCCUCUCACGUUUUCCCGAGAAAACCCUUCUUCCCCACUCUAGCUUUCUCCGGGAAAAUUUUCCGAUCCGUUGCAAACCGUUCAUCAUCUUCCAUUCUACAACAGAUCUCGACGACCUGCGAGGCUGCGAUGGAGAUUCGCAUCAGAAGAGGCUACGCGUGGGCCAUCGCCGCCGGAUUCAUGGCCGCUAUUGCCGCCAUCUCCGCCAAGUUCUUCUCCUCUCAGGUAACUCAACCUCAUCCGCGCGCUUGUCCGUGCAAGCUAAUCCAUGAUUGUCCCCCGCCGUUCUGCUUUGUCACUCGAGAUUGUGCGAUUGUUCCAGCUAAUGCAAAUCGAAAUCUGGCGUGUGUGUUGGGCUGAAGCACUCGACGUCGCGUGGCGCGAUGUGAGCCGCAGCCGAUAGCCGGUGCGCGGCGAUAUGUCCAAUUUUUGGUUGUUUGAGGAUUAGCGGGACCACUAAUUGAGGAAAGCUCCUGUCAAUUCUACUACUUCUGUGGAGAAGAGUUGAAUAAAUUACCGAGUGGGCAAGAGGGAUGGCGGUGCGACUGCGCCUCGGUCCCAGACAUGCCCAGGGAGGGGUGGGAGUCCUGAGCUAGUUUAUCAGAUUUGAGUCCAUCUUGCCGUGAGGAUUUAGUAUUUAAAGCGGACAAUAUGUAUACAGUAGAGACCGGGGCGUUACAACAAUAUCAUCCAAUGACAGGGGAUCAAGGAGCAAGAAAAACACAUUUAGCAAACACAUGGAACGUGCUCAAAGGGAAACGGGUAUCGGGACGCCACCACGUCAUCGGUGAGCUCACUGGCAGAGCCUCAACGGAACAAUUGGGACGCUGCCACAUCCCCGGUUAGCUGGAGAUCCUCGAGCAAGUCCCAGUCACGAGCGAGUUCUCGGAAAAGCUUUGAGAAGAGCUCACCGGUGGAGUCUCGGUGGAGAUCCUCGAGCGUCAGCCAAGGCGACAACCAUUAUCACAAUUCUGGUGAAGACGAUCCAUGGCGAGCAAGCUACAGGCAUGGCGCUCUUCGCCUAUUCUGGUGAUUACAAUCAAGGGCGAGUGAGAUCGUACCCGCGACCACCCCAGCAGAAAUAUGAUUAUUCUCAUCACACUAGCAGGGGCAAUAUUAUUUAUCAUGAGCAAAUGCACAAGGGGAAAAUGACUUCGCAUUUCUUCAGAAGUCUUCCAAACGCAAGUGCUCAUGUCAACAUUUGCAUCAAGAUUUCUAACUUUUCUGUUUCGAAAAAGUAUAGUUACUGCGAUUUUUCUUUUCGUAUUUUAUAAAAAAAAAAAGUCAAAAACACACGGCGCAUCUCGUUGACCCAUCAUCAACCAAUGCAUGCCGAUCAGCGGGCGCUGUCCAUGUCCCGACCUCAUCGUCACAAGCGAAGAAUGUGAACCAAGCGAUCAACCAUCGAUCUUCGAAGGAGAAGACUUCACAGAUUGGCGCUUCUUCCGUCGGCGAUCGUCCUCAAUUCCUCUCCAAUCGCCUCCCAGCUUCCUCCUGCAUCCUGAAAAUCCCUAUGGCGGCGGCGCUCGUCGGCGGAGCAUUUCUCUCGGCUUUCCUCCAGGUGCUCUUCGAUCGGAUGGCCUCCCGCGAGGUCGUCGACUUCUUCCGGUCGCGCAAGCUCGACAAGGGGAGGCUGCUGCAGAAGCUGGAGGCUGCGCUCCUGUCCGCGAACGCCGUGCUGGACGACGCGGAGGAGAAGCAGAUGACCAACGACUCCGUCAGGAAGUGGCUCGACGAGCUCAAGGACGCUGUCUACGACGCUGACGACCUGUUCGACGAGAUCGCCAUUGAAGAUCUGAAGCGCGAAGCCAGGGUCGAGCCUCGGGCUUUCGUUUAUAAGGUCUGGAGCUUUGCUGCAGACGCUUGUAGGAGUGAAUUGGGGGAUGAGUUAGAGAGGGUUCUGGAGAGAUUGGAGAGAGUGGUGAAGCUGAGAAAAGUGCUGGGCCUAAGGGAAGGCAUUCGCGAGAGGACAGCUAGAGCUUUGCCGACCACUUCGUUGGUCGAGGAAUUGGGAAUUUUCGGGAGGGAGAAGGACAGGGAGGCGGUGAUCGACUUGCUCUUGUCAGAUCUGGGCGAAAAGAACACCAGCGUGAUGGCCAUCGUUGGGAUGGGCGGUCUCGGUAAGACCACGCUAUCUCAGCUCGUGUUCAACGAUGGUGUGGUGAAAGGGAGUUUCGAGUUGAGGGCGUGGGUUUGCGUGUCCGACCAAUUCGACAUCUGCAAGCUGACGGCCACGGCUCUCGAGGAGUUCUCCUCCUCGUCUAAGAAGGAGACCGAAAAUCUCAACCAGCUUCAGCUCCAACUGAAGGACUUCUUGACAGGGAAGAAAUUCCUAUUGGUGUUGGAUGAUGUUUGGAAUGAGGACUCAAAUCUUUGGGAUGCGUUCCUAGUUCCUUUUACCUAUGGAGCAAGAGGCAGCAAAAUCGUCGUGACGACACGAAAUGAAAGUGUCGCAUCGGUUGCUCGUGCCUUCUCGAAAUACUAUUUACAGAAUUUACAAGACAGGGAAUGUUGGGACUUGUUCGCAAAACAUGCGUUUGACCAGCAUAACUUCGAGGCGCGCACGAGACUUGAAGAAAUCGGGCAAAGAAUUGUAAAGAGAUGUGAUGGAUUGCCUCUUGCGCUGAAGACUAUAGGUAGCUUGUUACGCUGUGAGUCUGAUAUCAGGAAGUGGGAAAUAAUUGCAGAGAGUGUCAUUUGGGAUUUGGCACCUGGAAAGAAUAGAAUUCUCCCUGCCUUGUUGUUAAGUUAUCAUUACCUUCCUCCACAACUGAAACGAUGUUUUGCCUAUUGUUCAGUCUUCCCAAAGGAUUGCAUAUAUAAGAAGGACCAGCUGAUCUUACUUUGGAUGGCUGAGGGCUUGAUAAAACAACCUAACGCCGGCAGGACAUUAGAGGAAGUAGGUGAUCAGUGCUUCUGUGACCUUGUGUCUAGAUCUUUGCUUAAUAGAGUAAGUGAUGUUGAAUCGAGCUUCCCGAUGCAUGACCUGGAAGAAAGCGACGUCGCAUUGACCUUUUCGAUGCAUGACCUGGUCAAUGACUUAGCAAGAUAUGUAGCUGGUCGAUCUUUUUUUAGCUUGGACGGAGGCAAUGCACACCAGGUGUCCUCAGGCACUCGCCAUUUGUCAUUUGUAAGAACUCGAUAUGAUGUCGCUUCCAGAUUCAGAGUGUUAGCCGGGGCAAAGAAUUUGCGCACUUUCCUGCCGCUAAACGUGGGUCAUGUGAGAUUUCGCGGCACUGUUUGUUGACUGAUGAGGUACUGCAUGUCCUGUUGCCGACCCUGAGACGGUUAAGGGUGCUAUCUUUGUCUUAUUAUGAGGGAAUCUCUACGUUGCCCAGUUCAAUUGGACGUUUGAAGCAUCUGCGCUAUUUGAAUCUCUCCUAUAAUGAAAGUCUAAGCAGAUUGCCUGAUUCAAUUACAGCUCUAUAUGACUUGCAAACCUUAAUUCUUAGUUACUGUCAGUCUCUCGUUGAGUUACCGAGCAACAUGGGCAGCCUAACCUGUCUGCGUCAUCUUGAUAUAAGGAAGACAUCCCUGAAGAGAAUGCCGCAGGGGAUGAACAGAUUGAAGAAUUUGCAGAUAUUAACUAAUUUCGUGGUGGCCAAAAACGGUGGGACCAGGGUUAGGGAGUUAGGGGAGCUAAGGGAUCUUAUGGGUACACUCUCCAUACAGGGUUUGCAGAAUGUUGAUAGUUACCGAGAUGCUGAGAUAGUCAAUUUGCAGGGAAAGAGGUACUUGAAAAAGUUAGUGCUGGAAUGGGGUUGUGAUGACAAUAUUACGCAGCAAAAUAGCUUAAAUGUAUUGAACAAGCUGCAACCUCAUUGGAACUUGAGAGAGCUCAUCAUUAUAUCCUAUGGUGGUAGGUCAUUUUCCACUUGGCUGGGACACGGUUCAUUCUCUAAUAUGUCAGUUGUGCAUCUUGAAUCUUGCAAGCACUGUGUGUCAUUGCCUCCUUUAGGACAGCUACCAUCUUUGGAGAAGUUGACAAUCGAAGGAUUUGAUGGAGUUACAAGUGUGGGUACUGAAUUCAAUGGUAGCAACUGUAUACCUUUUCAGUCACUUAAGUACUUGGAAUUUGCUGACAUGUGCAGCUGGAAAGAGUGGGCUUUUUCUGCAAUAGAAACAGGAGGUCUUGCCUUUACACAUCUACAGAAGCUUUGUAUUAGAAAUUGCCCGCAGUUGAGUGGAGGUUUACCCAGCCAUCUCCCUUCUCUAACAGCCUUGUCCAUUAAAGAGUGCCCACAGCUAAUGUCUUCUCUACCAUUUGCACCGCUUCUCCAUAAGAUCAAUUUGGAUGAUUGUGGAAAGGUUUCUGGAGUUGAGCCUCUCCUAAAUGGCAUUGAGUUACGAGAUAUGGAAAUCGGGAAAUUUUCAACCCUUCCCUUGAGGUUUCUUCCUCCUACCAUGACAAGACUCUGUCUUCUAUACAGUCAUGAAAUAGAGUUGCCAAUGGACGGAUGCUAUGAGUCUCUCCAAAAUCUAAGCUUGAUGCGGAGCUGUGAUUCACUUAUAUCCUUUCCUCUCGAAAUUUUCCCCUCGCUUAAGCAUAUUUACUUGACGGAGAUUAAAAAAUUGGAACAUCUUUCAAACUCAGAUGGUUUAUCACUUCUUCUCCAUUCGAUGGACAUUAGAAAUUGUCCUGAAUUUAGAUCUUUCCCUGCGGGAGGAUUGACUGCCCCAUGCCUCACUUCAUUAUGGUUGGUUGAUUGCCCUCAUCUAUCUGCCAGAAAACAUGCAGGCUCUCCUUCCUUCGCUUCAGUCACUAGAUGUAUUCUCAUGUCCACAACUCGAGUCAUUUCCCAAGCGGGGUUUACCCUCCAACUUGGUCAGGCUUUCACUCUCUAAUUGUGACAAGCUCAUCGCUAGCCGCAAAGACUGGGGUCUUCAGUCACUAUGCUCUCUUGAAACUUUUGUCAUUGGGAAAGAGAAAAAUAUAGAGUCAUUUCCUGAGAUAGGGCUUCUGCCGACCUCUCUUACCUCUCUAAGGAUCGUUGGCUUUAAGAAUCUGACAUCCCUGAACUCCAAAGGGCUUCAUAGCCUGAGCUCCCUUGAAAACCUCUUCAUUAGCGACUGUCGUAAGCUCCAUUCCUUCCCAAAAGAGGGACAAAUUCUGCCCGCUUCUCUUACCACUCUGACGAUUCAUCAUAUGGAUCUAAAAUCACUGGAUAACUUAGGGCUCCACCGCCUCACUUGUCUCAAAGAAUUUGACAUAUUUAGCUGCCGAAGUCUUCAAUCCAUGCCAGCGGAGGGCUUGUCAUCCUCCCUUUCCAAUCUAUUUGUCCAUGGGUGCCCUUUGCUGGAGAAAAGAUGCCAGCGGAAGAAAGGAAAAGAUUGGCCCCUAGUUUCGCACAUUCGCUGCAUCGUAAUUGAAGGUGUGCUCGUCACAUGAUCGUAUAUCUUGCUUUACAAUCCCUCCUUUUACCAAGAUUUCACUCAGGUAUCUCCCUUGGCCCUACACUAAGUAAGCCAUUUAUUUAUUCACGACAUACUUCAGUUGCUUUGUGGUCAAGCACUAACAUCUGGCUGUAUUUGCCGCAUGCUACUCUAAUAACGCUUCGCAAUGGAGAUUAUUUGUAGUUUCACCGGCUUUCCAUUGUUGUUCCUACGAUUGGGCUGCAUAAUUUCUUUAUUGGUUGCCAAGUUAUUUAGCUGGAGCGUCUGCUUUUCCCCUUCUCCAUUUUCUCUAUAUAAAUCACACUCCCAUACUUCAGCUAAGCAUCUGUCAUGGUCUUCAUAGUCUCACCUGGGAAUGAUUAUUUCAUUGCUACCUUAUGUCGCCAUCAGAUUAUUUCAGCUUUAAGAUCUCGCUAUUGUCAACACCUACAAAUGCCAACUUAUAGAACUGUUUGUGCAUGAGCUAACAAUAGUAAAUAGAGCAAAGAGAUUCAUGGCUACCUAAAGAAGGCCUAGCAUUGAUUAGGUUAUCUAGAUGAAAUUAUUUUUUCUCGAACUCUGGCACUUCCUCAAGUUAAAAAGAGAGUAAAUUUGUUCUUAUCAACAAAUGCUUUCUGUUGUGUAAAGCUGUAUAAUAUUACGAGGGAGACGUAAAUUCUUGAGACUAGGCAUGACUCAUGAUUGACUUGUAUUACGCUUGCCAGAACAGUGUGGUAUCAUAGGUGGAGCAUAUUUCUAUUUGCUUUGUAUGUUUAUUUGUCAAUUUCAGCUAAAUAUCACUCUAAGGUUGUACAGUUUAACAAUUUCCCUCACUACAUGUAGAAUCUUGAUCCAUGGAAUGUGAAAAUGGAACAGUUUAAGAGAUGCGAGUGGCCCAGCAUUUUGUAGUGGCAUAUCCACUUUUUUCACUAAUUAUAUCAUGACAUCAGCUAAAUUCAUCAAACUGAAGGUCUAAAAAGAGUGAAAAAGUUAGGUUUUUAUUUGUUGAAGUUGAAAAUUUGCAUCUCAAAAUGCAAUUCAAUCAAAAUAUAUGGACUUGUUGUAAUUUACCCUAUUUUGAGAGAAUCUAGUUUCUUUUGAGGGAAUUUAAGCGGUUUUAUGUCCAUUAACUUUUGAGGAGCUUCUGUGGAUGGAGAUAGAGCUGGAAAUGUAUUGCUAACUUUUAGCUCGAUUAGAGUAUCCUUUAGUUGUUAAUACUUGUCUUUCAAUCAUUGCAGGUGGAGUGCUUCUAGAUGGGGCUAGACUAACUAAUGUUCCAAAAAUACAUGAUGCAUACACAAUAAGCAAUAUAGGCACAUGCUGUGUUGAGAUGCAUGUAUGGAUUGUGACGCAGGAUUAGUAUGGUGUCGAAUAGUUGAUAUAUCUUAGUUGGCCAAAGCGUUUGAGUAAAAUUGGCCUAACUGGAUAUGUUAAAAGGUUUGGACUUGGGCUCUCUCUUGGCUUUUGCUACGCGCUCCCAAGCCAAUUGUUGAUUGGUGGCAACCUGUUGGUGCAAAAGAAUGCUUGGAUUAAGGGAGAAGUAUACUGAACAUUGAGCUUACACAUAAGAGGGAGAUAAGAAUUGAUGCAGUGUGGAGUAAGAGAAAGACAAGAAUUGAUGUGGUAUGGAGUACUUAAUAUCUCCUAGUUGGCCCAUGAUUCAUUGACUUAAGCUUUUGAGUAUAUGUUGGGUCCAACUAUAUUUGUUGACAGGGUCGAACUUGGGUGGUUUCUUGGCGAUCUCCCAUGGGAUGGCAUUGAAUUUCUGCUAGGCACUACCAACAUGCCAUGGUGGAUGUUGGAUGCUGCUUUGGAUGGACCUAUUCUUCUCCCACAAUAUCAAGAUAGUUUCAGUUAGAGGGUUGUGAGGAAAAAAAAAUGGUGCUCAGUGGACGAGUGAAUUAUGAGGAUCAUGAGCAACAUAGGCAGUGGGAUAGUGGAAUUCGGCAAGGAAAACAAAUCCAUUCUUCAUGCUGUGAGCAAGCCAAGUGAUUGACUCUGGAAAUGUCAGAAUCGAGCUCAAUUAGGAGUAUCGAAAUUUCAUUGUCAGUUUGCAGCUUGUGAGAAAUUGUUUACCAAUGAGUGCGAGUGCAGGAGAGGCACUCCAAUGCAAUUGCAACGUUUAGUUGAAUGUAACGACAUGCCAUGUGAGAAUUAUUUGCCUAAUGGUUUGGUUGGAUUGUUGAUUUAGCAAGCUGAUACUUCUCGCAAUGGAGAAAUAAGAAACCAUUCAAGGUGAAACGGAGCUAACGCAUGGUCUGUAGAGGUACAUCCCAGGUGUUCGAUGUUGUAGCAUUGAAACCGAUGAUGGGCAUGAGAUGAGUGGGUUAUGGAGAUAUUGUUUGAUACAACUUUUCGAUCAUACCUGUGGCCGUAAAACUGGAUGCUUCCGCUUUCGCAAGGUAACAUCUCAAAGCUAUCAUCUGGAACCAGAAAGUUGUCCCGUCUAGCUUACAGCUGUCUCCGUGUGUUACCAAAUGAUCGCAACUAUGAUUGUACCAAAUGGUCCUUGAGUGGAGCUUCAUAGCCUAUAAAGGAUUAGGAGGGAUUGGAGGAUUGAUUGAGUGAUACUUCUUUCUCUUUGGUUGAGUGGUUCUUUUCUUCAAAAGCACCUCUAAUUCUCCGGGACACACUUAAGCAAAGAGCGGGAAUAACUCGUGCAUGCAAGCAUAUACCCGUUUCAUGCUAUUGGAAGGUGUAACAUAUAAGUGAAUUUUAAGGUCAUGUACGAGUCUUAUUUAUCAUGUUCAAGUUUGAAAGUCGUCAUAUGUAAAUCAACAGUGGCUGUGUAUGUAUAUAUAAGGACAAGCAUUCUGAUUAGUAUGUAUAACAUAGUCGAGAAAGAUGAAUCAGAUAACCUUCAUUCCAACUUCGAAAUCUGCAAGGACGUCAUUUCCCAAUAUGGCGAACCAGUCCAGAAACCUUGUAGGGAAAUGACGAACCAAUCCAGAAACCUUGUGGCUACGCAAUAGACAGUUAUUUUGAAAGGAUGUGGUGUAUUAUACUAAUCAACACUGGCACAACUAGCAGUAGAUGCCAAUGCUAAUUUAGCUCGCACAAAUUCGCUGAGCAAGAAGGGGAGUUGAAGCAUCUAAGACAGAAAAACUAACUCGCUUGCUAAAUGAUUUGGACAUAUAGAACAACAAGAAUUGUGAUCUUCAUAUCACUAGCGUUCAUCCAACCAAAAUAACAACAGCAACUUGGACGCGGAUUGGGAAAAAGACCUACUGCAAGAGAAGAUACAGGACACAAGUCAUAUCUCGCAACAUAAUAUCUUCAAAGCAGUCAAAAAAUAGCAUCUCCUGGUCUCAACUCGUCCAACUGCGGAACAGCAUAGAACGAACACUAGGCUAGAUUCGUGCCCAAGGAAUGAAGUCGUGCAUGAUUGUGCCACAAACAGAGCACAACAAGAAAACCACCUAAUGAUCCAACGGAACCUCAAAAACAAAGAUGGUUAUGGGUACAUAAAAUCAUGAGGCAAACUCCUAUCAGAUUGUUCGAAAAUGUCCCUCUCGUUCAAUAAAGUUCUACAGUUUACCGUAUCAAUUGAUGAACAGAAAUUUACAAACCAAUCUGUGUACCCUAGGUCCCCAGCAUUCCUGUGGAAGAAAUGAAGAAAUCAUAUCCUGGCCCUAGCAUGAAAAUCUGACAAACCAUAUUCUGCUGAAAGAAGCACGGGGAUACAGCAUGGCAACAUGUCUUUGUCCACAAACUGCAAAUAUAGGUUUCUUACAACCAUUCAUCAUCAUGGAAAUUUCGAAAGCUAAUGAGGGUGAAAACGACACCCCCUUGUACAAAAAAGAGAGCAAAUCCAGUCAUCAGACAGGGAACCGACAUUUUACAACUGCCAAGAAGUAUGAACAUCAGAGACAUCAGACAAUAUUCACAUCAACCACAGAGGUAAAGAGAAUCUAAAAUCCAAAGCGCUCUUUCCACAUUUGCGACGGUAAUCGAUACAUCAGCACUCAAACAGGUCUGCAGAUGCCAUUAUGGGCUGUAUCGGACGAGGGAUCUGCCAGGGCUUCAUCAACGGGUCGGGAAUCUCGGGAAUAUCAAUCGCGAGCCCACUGACCACCUCCACGAUCUCAAGCACCGAGUUCAGGGACCGGAGCCUGUCGGUAAGUUGCAUCCUGAGGACAUUGUUGGCCGAUUCAACCUCAGCAUACUUCUGCGCAGCCGCAUUGAUACUCGCCACGAGCUGAGCGUUAGCCUGCUGCAGUUGCCCCACUUCUCCGACCAAAUCCUCCAGCUGCUUCUGCCUCCUCAUCCGGGAGCGCCUGGCCGAUUCCCUGUUGGACUCCAUCCUCUUCCUCUUCCUUUCAUCAUCGGCCACCCCACCGAGCCUCGGGUCGCCAUCGGAUCCCGAGCUCGCCUGACGCCGAACCGAACCCAUUUUCGAGGGCCUUUCCCCGCGAUCAAUCAAUCACUCGAUUCAGAAAGCGACCGAUCAGAGGGUCUCCGCGUACCGGGAGUUAACAACGAAUUCCGAUGGAAUCAAAGGGAGGUACGAAUCGCGAUCAAUCGGAGAGAGAGAGAGACGGGCGUUCAUGAGAAGACGUAGAACCAGUAGAGGAACACCACCGAGAAGGAGUGGACGAUCCGCACCCGGAACAUGAGGAUCGCGUAGUUCAUGACUCGGUUUCCCACAUCUGAAAACCCUAGACCAUCUCCCACAAGCGCUCAACCAGUACCCUCCGAUUCUCAACCCAACGCAACGAAGGGGAAAACGAAAACGGCGACAACGCAGCGGAAAGACAGCAGAGAGAGAGAGAGACAAAGAUAGAGAAGGAGGACCUAAACUUAGCCGCCGCCGCCGCCGCCGCCGCCGCCGGCGGAACUCGCGAACCAGAGAGAGGUCGACGAAUGUUGGCCAAGGAGGGGAGAAAGGGAUUAUAUAGAGGAGGCUCGCGGGCUUCGAUUGGUCCGCCGGGAAAACGAAUACUUUCGGAAUGUUUUUUUUGGGUGUAAUUUGGGGGUUUAAUUUUUUUUUUUUUUUAUCGUAAGGGGGUUUAAUUUAUUAGGACGGAUUUUGCUUGGGCGUGUCCCGAUUGCCCAAUCACAUUCGGAAGCGUGAGAUUAUAUUUCUUUCUUGAAAAAAAACUGAAAUUACCUUUUUAACAAAUCGAUUAAAGAAGAAAAUACAUGAGAUACUCGAGGAAUAAACGAAUUUGGAAAUCUAUAUUGGAGAUGUGGAAGAAUCUAGAGAUCCUCUUCUGAUUUUAUUUUGUCAGUUGUUUUUUUUUUAAUCUUUUUAUUUAUCCAUGGGACAACUAAUAUCAGACUUAAUCUAUUUUUUACUUUUUAGUACUUUUUUUUUUUUUUUUUGUGUUACCCUCUUUCUUUACGCAACCGUGUUAACCACAAUACAUGGGGGAACAGAUGUUAUUAAAUUUAAAAAAAAAAAUUGGUGGGGGAGGGGAAUGACGUCAUGGCGCACAUCUGAUGUGGCCGUGGGAUUGGUCAGAUCUCGUCGUCAUCGUCGUAGUUGGUGCUGCCCAUGUAAUGCGCACAUUGUUUGGGACGUUAGCAAGUAGCACCACACCUCACAGAGCAGGCAAAAACCGUGGGUUUGACCGGGUCAAACAUCGGACAUCGGAUCUUCUUGGGAUACAUCCCCCUAGAAUAAUGCACGCGAGCGCCAAGUUGUGAUACGGAGAGAUAUUUAUUUUAACGUUUUCUGUUUUGAGACAUUAAUUUCGCGAUACCUUUUAAUUUUCAUAAAAAAGGACUUGCGCAAUGGAAAUUAGUCGGGAUGUGUGAAAUACGGGCUAAAUCUUGGAUUUCUGAAAUUGAAAUUGGAUGAAAAGAAAAUGCAUGUGAUUUGGUGAAAGCAGUGACCGUUUGGAAAUUGAUAAUGAAAAUAUGUAAGUGGGUUCUUUGUGAGAAAAUAGGGAUAGAAAUCAAAGUGGAUAGUGCAUUUUGGGAUUGCAAACAUUGCAUCAUGAAAUAGUGCUAGAAAAAUGAUUAUUGCAAUCGUUUUAUUCCACAAAAAAUAAAUGAUUUGAAAAAAAAAUUAUUACUGCAAUCUGUUUAUUCCACAAAAAAAUGAAUGAUUUGAAAAAAAUGAACUCAAUGAACAAUACUAAUCACAACCAAGAGCCAACUACUGGCUCCCAAGGAGCAAACCUAGGACACUGUGCCCAAAGUUGCGAUCUUAACACUUUAAUCGAGAAUGAUAUAUUUCAUAUCAAGGUUAAAACUACAUGGUAUCGGCACAAGAUGCAACAAACUCGAGAUGCAUAACAUAUAUAAGGCCGAACGACAUAAGAUUUGUAAUACUUUUUUUUUUCAAUCUGAUAAGAGUUAUAAUACAUUGGCUAAUCAUUAAUGCUGCAUCAUCACUACCAAAUUUAGGGUCGAUGACUGGGUGAGACUUGCCUCGCCAGCCUUUGGUCAUGAGGAGAAAAUAUUAUAUUCAAUUUUGAUGUCAAUUCAGCAAAAUAUUAGUCCAUUCAUCUCAUGGCACGUGUCACGCGUGAGCCCACUUAUCUGUCACGGCCCUGUUUGGUUCAGCUUUCUUAAGGGGGAAAAUAUUUUAUGUUUGGCAACAAUUUUCGAAAGCUACUUGGCCAAAUGUCAGCAUUCCCAAUGCUGAAAGCCCAAUGCUAAUGUUGGGGAGGACCAGCUUUGAGCAUUUGAUAUUUCGGAAAUGCUCGUUCACUAUUCAUCUUCUUCCCCAUUCUUCUCCGUUCGUCUUCUUCGUCUUCCUCGCCGCUUGAGAGUUCGGCUUCUCUGGCAGCCGCCAUCGCCACGUGGGGGUCUCGCGUCCUCGGUGACCAUCGCCUAGGGUGGCGGGAACCGCGACUUAGGCGGGGUCGCUUGGCAAGCGCGAGCCAAGCGACACCACCUGAGGUCCGAGUGACCAGGCGAUGCCACCUGAGGUUGAGAUCUGAGGCCGCCAAAUUUGGCUGUUCGGCAGCCAAAUCUGGUGGUCUUGAGGCCAGAUCUGGCCAUCAGAUGGCCAUAUCUAGCCUUCGCGACCUCAGGCCGUCAAAUCUGGUGGUCCGGCGGCCAAAUCCAGUUGGCUAGCGGUUGGCUGACCGUCGGAAUUUGAUUUUCUAACUUAAAUAUAAAAUAAAAAAUAGCAAAAGUCAAUUACAAAGGUGAAUUUUACCAAACGGUGUUUAUGCUAAGUUGCUUUUCAAUGUUACAAUUUACCAAACGGUGUAACAUUUCCGCAAACCUCUUUAUCUCAAAGGUAUUUGCAUUUUCCUAAUGGCAUUUCCUCAAAGCUGAACCAAACGGGCCCACUUAUCUGUCACGAUCUCUCUCUCCACUUCCUUUUGACCCCUUUUCCCUUCUCCAACUCUCUCUCUCUCCCCCUUCUUUUUGACCCCUUUUUCCUUCUCCAACCUCGAGCCCAAGCCAUCGCCAUUGCUGACCAUGGCAAAGGGCACGCUUGGAGUCUCCAACAAUGAGCUUGCCGCCAAUGGAUCCCUAUUUCUUUGUAAACCUUAUGGUGGGGAACCUUGAGUUGAAGAUCCCCAUCACUACCAAGCCCGCUGGCUCUACCGUCCACCCAUCGUCCUCUCCUCGCUUCUGCACCGACUUUGUUAAAUGGACGGGAGAUGGCAAGAAAUUUUUUUGAGUGCGAAAAGCCUAAGACUUUUUGUUUUCGAAGUGAUUAUUUUUUAAUCGUGAAUGCAUGACAUGCCUGUGACACAUUCGCAUUGAGAAAAUAUCAAGUGAGAGCAAGAUUUGAUGAAAAAUACUUCAUCAAACCUUUUAAGUUGCAUCCCAAAGAUACUAAAGCCCAAAAUAUGGGGGCAAAAACAAGAGGAAAUAGAAAGAAGCAGGAGAAAGAAGUAAAAUUUGUACUUAUUUUUGAAAGCCCAUACCCUUAUGAAGCCCAUCGAUCCUCAUCUUGGGCCAUGAGAGACCCGCCGUUCACUCGACCCAACUUGAUUUUCUUCCUCUUACGUUUUCCCGGGAAAACCCUUCUUCCCCUCUCUAGCUUUCUCCCGGAAAAUUUUCCGAUCCGUUGCAAACCGUUCAUCAUCUUCCGUUCUAUAACAGAUCUCGAUGACCUGCGAGGCUGCGAUGGAGAUUCGCAUUGGAAGAGGCUACGCGUGGGCCAUUGCCGCCGGAUUCAUGGCCGCUCUUGCAGCCAUCUCCGCCAAGUUCUUCUCCUCUCAGGUAACCCAACCUCAUCCACGCACUUGUCCGUGCGAGCUAAUCCAUGAUUGUCCCCCGCCGUUCUGCUUUGUCACUUGAGAUUGUGCGAUCGUUCUAGCUAAUGCAAAUCGAAAUCUGGUGUGUCUGUUGGGCCGUGUCCCUAAUGUAUCUCCGGCUGAAGCACUUGAUGUUGCGUGGCGCAAUGUGAGCCGCAGCCGAUAGCCGGUGUGCGGCGAUACGUCCAAUUUUUGGUUGUUUGAGGAUUAGCGGGAGCUCUAAUUGAGGAAAUCUCCUGCCAAUUCAACUACUUCUGUGGAGAGUAGUUGAAUAGAUUAGCGAGAGGGGAGGAGGGAGGGUGGUGCGUCUGCUCCUCGAUCCCCAGACAUGCCCGGGGAGGAGAGGGAGUUAUGGGCUAGCUUAUAAGGCUUUGGUCCAUCUAACUGUAUAUACGCGUUUUCUUGAGGUAAUAUGGGCUAGUUUGAGAAGAACAAAACCGUAAGGACUUAGUGUUCAAGGCGAAAAAUGUGUACAAUGGAGACCUAGCCAUUACAACAAUGUCAUCCAAUGGCAGGGGAUCGAGGAGCAAGAAAAACACAUUUAGCGAAGCAUGGAACGUGCUCAAGGGGAAUUGGGUAUCGGGACAUCGCCAUGUCACUGGUGAGCUCACUGGCAGAGCCUCAACGGAACUAUCGGGAUGCUGCCACAUCCCCAGUGAGCUGGAGAUCCUCGAGCAUGUCCCAGUCACAAGCGAGUUCUCAGAAAAGCUCUAAGAAGAGCUCAUCGGUGGAGUCUCAGUGGAGAUCCUCCAGCGUCAGCCAAGGCGACGACCAUUAUCACAACUCUGGUGAAGACGAUCCAUGGCGAGCAAGCUACAGGCAUGGCGCUCUUCGCCUAUUCUGGUGAUUACGAUCAAGGGCGAGUGAGAUUGUACCCGCAACCACCCCAGCAGGAAUAUGAUUAUUCUUAUCACACUAUCAGGGGGCAGUAUUAUUCUUGAGGUCUUGACAAUGUCAAUAGUUACGUCCACGACGACGCGUCCGUUCCAUCAUAUCUGCCCCCGCAUACUUCUUAUGGUUAUCACUGUCCAUCCGAGUCUCCCCCGAAUAAUUGUGUGGUGAUGUGAGAUGCCUAAUAUAGUGUGCCUAUAGUUGCUUUUACUAAUAUCUGGUGAAGUACGGGAUGAGCUAGGGGCAUGGUUGAGCCUUUGGUUUGUUAGCUUUCGCUUGUGAAUCUCAGUGAAGUUUCUUGUUUUAGUUAAUGGUUUCGAACGUGAUGGAGAUUGAUUGAAAUGGCUUUGCCAGUUAAUGAAGGUUUAUAUAUUUAUUUUAUGAAGUUUCAUCUAGUUCGUAGAUGCUAAAAAGUUCUAUUAAAAUUUAACUAAAUUUAGGGGCACUUAAUUCCAUCAAUUGUCUACGGUUCUACUUCUAUGGACAGAUGUUCCCUCACCAAUCAUUUAUCACAAAAAUUAAACCAAAUGAAAAACGAUUUAUAAAAAUAGUUUAAAAAAGAAAAAGAAAAUUGGCCGCGCCAUUCUUGAAAAUUCCUCAUUCUUCAAGGAAGACCUUUAAGGAUCCGAGCUUUCUUGUGAUCCUUCGUGUUCAAACUUCAAGUAGCUUUGAAUGUGCAGAUAUACAUUGAAAUUUGUCUUUCCAGAUGCUUAUGGCAUCUCCAUUGAGAUGCAUAUACAUGGAGGAGAAACUUUUCAAGCUCAUCCAUUUAAAAAUUGGGCUCCUUUCUUGAUGAAAUUCAGUGGACGAAGACGAGAGAAAACGUUUCCAGUUAAAAAGAUCAAAACCGAAAAUAAUCUCCACUCAGUCCGUCGGAAGUAAUUGAAUUGUUGAUAUAUCGACAUAAAAAUGAAGCAGGAAAUGUUAGAUUAAAUGUAAACUAAAACCUUAUGAUCCCGAUUAUCAAUCACAGAUAAAUUCGUACAGAAUUUGGGAUCGAUUUGCUGAAACGUAAAAAUCAACAUACCUCCAGUCAUCGAUAAAAAUUUGCAAAAGCGGAAAACUUCAAAACCUUGGACGGAUUCACGCAACACGAUCCGAUCUUCAAUAUGAAGAACACCAGAUCUGUACGUCAUGUUCUACUAGCCAAUACCCCUCAAAUCUGAUGGUGCGUUUUCUGUAAUGAUAGGGUUUGAAUUAGACGACUUGACAUUUUAUUCCGUUUAUUAUGUUAUAGACAUCUUCCAUCAAGACCGUUAUGGUAACAUAUUAACGAGCAAAUAUCAUGUAAUAGAUGUGGGUGAUAAACUGGGCAAUAAAUCGGAACUAAUUGAGAAUAUAAUAUUGGGAUCAUAUUUAGAAUAAUAAAUAUAUUACAACAUUCUCCCACUUGAUCCCAAUAUUCCAUUAAAUGAAAUAUUAACUCAAACCCACAUAAACUUCGUACUAAAAUAAAACACAUGAAUCAUGAUAAUGAGUCCUCUUAGAGUAAGUAUUAUCUUUCAUGUAUCACAAUGCAUUUCAUUAGCUCAUAUGCGAUCAAAUAACUUAAUGAAUAAAUCUUCUGUUUACUCUAGGUCAAAUGUAAUUGUUUCUCUCAGAAUAAUUGAAUGUAUACAAGUGUAUUGAGAAAAACAUUAUAAAUGAAUAAAAGUCUCACAAUUCUUUCAUAUAAUUUUUUUUUUACCUAAUUGGGCCAAUACCCAUUCUAAAUACAUGAUUCUUAUAACUCAUUGGUGGCAUGCCUUUAGUUAAAGAAUCAGCUAUCACCAGUCCAGUGCUUAAGUGUUCUAUGAUCACUUUCUUCUCUUUAACACGUUCUCUGAUGACUAAAUACUUGAUGUCGAUGUGCUUGCUUCAACUACCACUUUUGCGGUUCUUAGCCACAAAAACUGUAGCUGAAUUGUCGCAAAAUAUUCUUAAUGGCCUAGCAAUGGAAUCCACAACUCUAAGCUCCGAUAUGAAACUUUUCAAUCACACACCAUGUGAGGUGGUCUCAAAAUAGAAAACAAACUCUGCCUCCAUAGUGGAAGUGGCAACCAAGGUCUGUUUUGCACUCCUCUAGGAUACAGCUCCACCAACAAAGUUUGAAUUCGAGUAACCAACUACCUCCAAGGUGUUCGUCCGUCUAUACAUAAGUAUGUAUCCCUUUGUUCCUUGAAGGUACCUCAUUACCUUCUUUGCAGCUCUCCAACGGUCCAUACCUAGAUUACUUUAUAUAUACUCAACAUUCCCAUAGCAAAGGCUAUGUCAAAUCGAGUGCAAACUUAAGCAUAUAUCAAGCUUCUGACAGCAGAAGCAUAUGGAAUGUUCUUCAUUCGUUCCCUUUCAAAAUCGUCCUUUGGGCAUUGGUUUAAAUUAAACCUAUCACCUUUCACAAUCGGUGCUAUAUCUGGUGAACAAUCUUUCAUCCGAAACCUCUCUAAGACCUUAUUGAUAUAGGUUUCUUGAGAUAGUCCUAAUAUAUCUCGAGAUCUAUCUCUAUGGAUCUUAAUGCCAAUGACAUAAGACGCUUUAUCAAUAUCCUUUAUAUCAAAACUCUUAGAGAGAAAUUGUUUCCCUUCAUAUAACAACCCCUUAUCAUUGGUUGUAAGUAAAAUGUUAUCUACAUAUAGCAUAGGGAAACAAAUUUUGCUCCCAUUAACCUUUUGGUAUAUACAUUGAUCAAUGAUAUUCUCUAUAAAACCGAAUGAAGAGAUAACCUCAUGGAAUCUUAAGUACUAUUGGCGGGAUGCUUGUUUUAAGCCAUAUAGAGACAUUUUAAGCUUGCAUACCAAAUGUUCACCAAUAUUAGAAAAUAAUCAUUCUAGUUAUUUCAUGUAAACCACUUCUUUCAAUUUUCUAUUGAAGAACGCCAUUUUCGCAUCUAUUUGAUGUAACUUCAUAUCAAAAUGAGCAACUAAUGCCAAAAUAAUACGAAGAGAAUCUUUCUUGAAUACAGGAGAAAACGUCUCCGUGUAAUUGAUCCAUUCCUUUUUAGUGAAUUCCUUGGCAACGAAUUUGGCUUUGUAUCUCUCAAUAUUGCCUAAUGAAUCAUUCUUAGUUUUGAAGACUCAUUUACAACUAAUAGCCUUCACACCAUCGAGCAAUUCAACUAUAUCCCAGACUUCAUUUGAUGCCAUAGAAUUCAUCUCUUCCUUCAUGGCCUUGUACCAUAAAUUGGAUUUAUCACAACUCAUGACUUGUGAAAACGUCUCGGGAUCACUUUCAGCUCCAACAUUAUAGUCAAUUUUUUGUAGAUACACAAUGUAAUCAUUAGGGAUUGCUGAUUUCUUCAUUCUAGUAGACCUUCUUAAUGUUGCAUCAACAUCCUCCUGAGGAGUUUGUUGUUCAACUGAAAGUUCAAUAGUAUCUGGUAAUUGCUGAAUAGUUGGGUCUAUCGAAUCAACAUUAGUAAGUUAUGGAUCUUCAAUGAUUGAUUGCUCAACGAUCGGUUGAAUUGAAGGUGUAUUGUAAACAUUAACCAAUCAAGUACCUGAGGUAGAAGGUUGAGUAUCUAAAUGAUCUUCUUCGGGAACAAAGUCCCUGAAUUGAUCGUUCCCAUUAACCAGGGCAUUCUCAAGAAAUUUAACAUUUCUUGAUUCCACAAACCUAAUGGUGUGAGAUGGACAAUAAAAUCUGUAUUAUUUGGACUUUUCGGCAUAUCCAAAGAAAUACUCAUUUAUAGUCUUUGGAUCUAACUUUUUUUUUUCCUGUGGAUUGUAGACUUUUACUUCAGAUGAGCAUCCCCAAACACGUACAUGUCACAAACUCGGUUUUCAACAUUUGAAUAACUCAAAAGGCGUCUUUGGAACAGCCUUGGUUGGAACUCGGUUUAAUAUGUACACAACCGUUUUAAGAGCCUUAGUCCACAAAAAUUUAGGAAGUUUGGAGCUGCUGAGCAUACUCCGCACCAUGUCCAAUAAUGUUCAUUUUUUUUUCUGCGACACCAUUUUGGUCUAGUGAACUAGACAUAGUGUAUUGAGCAAUAAUCUCAUGCUCUUCAAAAAACUUCGCAAAUGAACCAGGUGCUUAUCCAUCUUCAAUGUAUCUACCAUAAUAUUCCCCACCUCUAUCUGAUCUUACGAUGCCGCAUUGUUUUUCUACUUCGGUUUUAAAUACUUUAAAGGCAUUUAACGCUUUGUGCUUAUUACAAAGCAUAUAAAUACAUGAAUCGUGAACAAUCGUCUAUGAAAGAAAUGAAGUAUCUGACCAUUUGAGUCCAUAUCCGGACUACAAAUAUCUGUAUAUAUGAUUUUUAAUAUUUUUGUAUUCCUCUUAGCACCUUUCUUUGACUUGUUGGUACAUUUUCCCUUUAUACAAUCCACACAAGUGUCAUAAUUAGUAAAAUCCAGAGUAUUAAGUACUUUAUCAUUUACUAGUCGCUUAAUUAUAUCAAUAGAGAUAUGUCCCAACCUCCGGUGCCACAACAUAGAUGAAUCCUCAUUUACAGCACAUCGUUUUAUACUAGCAUUAUCGUGAACAUGCAUCGCAUUAUUAAUUACAUUGUCUAGUAAAUUAAUUCGAAAGAGACCGUUAAACAAAAUACCACUCUCAACAAUUUCAGAUUUAUACGAUAAAUUGAAUGUUGAAUAUAAAAAUUCAAAGGAGUAUCCCUAAGGCACAAGUCUUGAAACUGAAAUUAAAUUCCUAGAAAAACUAGGAAUAUAAAAGGUCAUUUCUAAAAUUAAAACAAAACCACUACCGAGAACUAAUCUGCAUGUCCUAAUAGCUUCCACGCGCGAGCACAUCUUGUUUCUUGAAUAGAUGCUUUGUUCACUUUCCACUUGUUUCCACCGGUUCUAAAAACCCUACAAGGAAUUCGAAAUGUGGAUUGUAGAACCAGAAUCAAUCCACCAAGUGUUGUGACCCACAUCAACCAUAUUAGAUUCAUAACAAACAGAUGAGAGUUGGUUAUCUUUCUUUUUUAGCAGGCCUUAAAUUUGGCACAAUUCUUCUUCACGUGCCCCUUCUUUUUACAGAAGAAACGCUUGAAUUUCUUUUUAAUGCCAACUCGGGGAGGUAGAGGCAUGUUACCUUUUCCCUUUUGCUUGCCUUGCUCUUUAUACUUAUCAUGUGUUGUCAUAUGGUCAUGAGUUCAUUGAUUGACCAUUUAGUUUUAUGUGUAUUGUAAGAGAUUUUGAAAUGGGCAUACUCUUGUAGGAGAGUAUUUAGAAUAUAAUAUACAAGAAAAAAAUAUGAUAUCCCAACCUGAAGAUUUUUCAGCUGAGCUGCAAUGUCCCUCAUCUUCAUGAUGUGCUCACGCGCACCUCUUACACUGGUAAGUUUCAAAGAUGAGAACUUCAUAAUCAGGGUCAUGGCAUGCACCUUCUCUAAAGACUCAAAUUGUGCAUUAAUAGCCUCCAGCAAUUUCUUGGCAUUGUUAUGCUGAAUGACUAAACCACGAAUACUAGCAGAGAGUUUUAUCUUUAUGUACAUCACACUGAGACGGUUGGACCGCUCCCAUUGUGCAUAAUGUGUAUGUUCAAUAUGAGUACUAUUUUCAAUAGAUUCAGGUGGUUCGUCAGACCUUAGUACAUAAUCAAGAUCCAUGCACCCCAAUUGAAGAAGAAUCGAUUCCUUUCAUUCUUUAUAGUUAUUCCUAUUAAGCUUGGAAACAAUUAUACCAGAACUAAUCGUAGGUGGUAAAACUGCAUCAUAAUUAAAGAAAACUUAUGUAUCAACAUAUUUGAGGCAAAUAAACUUAAAUAAAACAUGUUAUAAAAUAUGGAUCACAUAACAUCAAUAACUAUCUGUGGGCUAAGUUUCUAAUUUAAAUUGAUUCAUAAUUACUUAAUGAUGAAACUAUCAAAUUAUAUUCUCUUCUUUAAUCCCUAUGGGUAACUUAAGAAAGAUAAAAUAAUAUUUCAUCAUAAUUAAUCACAUUAAUAUAUUGAAAAUUCCCGUGGGAUAAAAUUCAUAAUAUUAAUAUGACUAAUCACAAUUAUAAUAUUUGACUAUAUGUGAUCCAAAGGCUUUUAAUGUAUAUAACUUAAUAUAAUCAAAGAUGCUAUGGCUAAUCUUUAAUUAAUUAAAUAUAUACGGAUCACUAGACAUUUAAUUUUAUGAGAAAAUAUUCAUAAAAUUGCACGUUAGGGUAAAACGGUAAAAUCACGUGCAAAGGGGUAAAACUGGAAUUUUGCACGCAAGGCCGGAAUAGGAAUUUUACUUUUAAGGGGUAAAAUAGGAAUUUGCACGCGCCUAAAGCCUUCUUUUCGGGCUUUCUUCUUUUCCGCCGUUCCUUCCGCCGCGACUAACUUUGUUCUGCUGCCUGGAUUCCUCCCACAGCCCAUGUCCGACCAAAUUGAUUGAUGGGUUUCGAAGAGAACGUCGGGACGAACGAAUAAUUUCAAGAUCAGGCAAAAACGACCAACAUAUUGACUGGAAUUAAGCCUAAAACAAUCUGCCCUAAAAACCCUAACCACCAAAAUUUCACUGUUCGAUUAACCUCCGAUGAUCAAUAAUAUGCCGAAAAAUUUAAGGGCUUUUCUUCCUAAUGGCAGUGUGGCCAUGCAGAUCCAUUAUCGUGUGGUGGGUCGCCCAAAUUUGGCCAAAAUUUUAAAUUCUGUUCUAAGUCAUAAAAAUCCGAAUUUACCCAUACAUAAUUCAAUGAAAAUAAAUAAAAAUUCCAAAAAUUUCACCAAGGUAGAGAUUGUAAACAUGCUUUGAUACCAACUAUUAGAUUAAAUGUAAACUAAAACCUGACGAUCCCAAUUAUCAAUCACAGAUUAUUUCGUACAGAAUUCUGGAUCGAUUUGCAGAAACGUAAAGAUCAACAUACCUUAAGCUCUUCACCAAAAAAAAACAUACCUUAAGCCAUCAAUGAAAAUUUGCAAAAGCAGAAAACUUCAAAACCUUGGACGGAUCCACGUAGCACAAUCGAUCUUCAAUAUGGAGAACACCAGAUCUGUACGUCAUAUUCUAUUAGCCCAUACCCCUCAAACCUAAUGGUGUGUUUUCUGCAGUGAUAGGGUUUGAACUAAACGACCUGACGUUUUAUUCCAUUUCUUAUGUUACCGACAUCUUUCAUUAAGACCGUUACAGUAACAUAUUAACGGGCAAAUAUCACGUAAUAAAUGUGGGUGAUAAAUUAGGCAAUAAAUCGGAACUAAUUGAGAAUAUAAUAUUGGGAUCAUAUUUAGAAUAAUAAAUAUAUUACAACGGGAAAGAGAUUUAUUUAUUUCAAUAGCUUCUUUAGUGAAGAUUAUAGUAAUCUAUUUAUAAAUUUUAUGAAGUGACUAUCCGAAAAAACAAAAUAUUACACAUAUCAAUGACGAUCAAUGAAAACCAUUCGAAAAUAUGCAUAAUCAAAUGAACAUAGUGCACAAUUAUGAGAGAUAUACAAAACCAAUGGAGAUUUAAAGAAUCUACUUUAUAUAAAGACAUAGAAGAAGUCAAUUGUAGAAUAUAUUAGCAGUCUUAUCAACCAAAGAAGUGGAGACAAGAUGCACAAUGUCAUGAAGCACAUGAUAACACGUGAAACGAUAGUCUCUUUCAAUAUGUUUGGUGCUUUUAUAAAUAAAUAAAAACAUUAUUAUAUGCUGUUCGGGUCCAAUUAUCAUAAUAAAUAAGUAUUUUGUUGUUAAGAUGACACAUAUAUGUCCUUUAAUAACCAUUACAAAUACAGUAAUUUUGAUGUUGUAUUAGCAAAAGCAUGAUAUUCAGCUUUCAUGCUAGAUGAAGCGACAAUGGUCUAUUUAUUGUUAUGCUAUAAGAUAAGUGAGUUACUUAGAAAGUAGUGAAGUAAUAAUCAAGAGGGUCUCCUGCCCAUCAAAUUUAGUUAAAAAGAUUGAACUAAAAAAUGAUCUCCACCCAAUCCAUUAGAAGCAGGUGAAUCACUUAGUUCAAUGGAAGAACCGCUACAUGAAUAAUGGGUAAGGGAGUCUGUCUCGGGAAAUAAACUACGAAUCCAUUAAGGCUCCCUUCGUUUCGUGAAACACAAUUUCUAGAAAAAGUAUUUUUUGGAUUUUCCGACAUUCCUUUCCUGAAAAAUGAACUAAUCGAGGAAAACAUUUUCCAUUAGCAAAAAAGAGUUUUCUAAAAUAGAGAAAAUGUUUUCCACUUUUCAAGAUGAAGAAAACAUUUUUCUUACUCAUUUUCUCUUAUCUCAUACCUAUGUUAACCUUUUCAUCUUUUUUCCUAAAAAAAUCCAAUUUUUAAUUAUUUUUCUUUUUUUUGUUUUUUUAUUUUUCUCUUUCAAGCUCGAGACUCAUUGGAAUUUGGCAAGCCUUAAGCUCACCUACGGCCAAUCACUGGCCAUCACCGUGGUUGAUCAAAAAAGAAGAAUAAAAAAAGAAAGAAAAAAUAAAAAUAAUUUAAAAAUUGAUUUUAAGAAAUAAAAAAAAUUAUUGAAAAAGAGUGCAUGGAGGAAAACAUUUUCCUUACCAAAUAACAGAAAAUAUUUUAUAAUUCAUUUUCAAAUUUCAGCUGCAAACUACAAAAUGGCUAUCUUCUUGAAAAAUGGCUUCCUAGAAAACAAUUUCUAGAAAUGUUACAUUUUCCGUGAAACAAAUAGAAUCUUAAUUAAAAAAUGAUUCGUUCGACAUAGCUUGGAGCUAGGUCUCUCUGUCCAUUGGGCAACCAAGAAUGCAAUCCUAAAGUGCCAUUAUUAUUAUUUUGCCCCCGAUUUCAAAUGCAAGUAGGCCUUCAAAAAAGGGGCUCGAAAUGUUCUUAUUUUCUUAAAUAAGAGCUCGAAGUGAACCUUAUUUCAAAUAAACGCCUGAAGUGCCAUCGUUUUAUCAAAUAAAGGACUGAAGUGAAUAUUAUUUUAAAUAAAUGCCUGAAAUGGCUAUGCCAGUUUCAAACAAUAGCCUAAAGUAAUUAUGUCUGUUUCAAAUAAGAACUUUCUCUUCUUCUUCUUCUUCUUUUUUUUCUGGUUCUUCUUCUUCCUCUUCGCCACUGGCCGAAGGGUUGGGCAAGGGUUGCCUUACCCAAUUCGAUGAGCACCACCCAUGUCGGCCACAAAUGAGGAACGGCCUCACUUGGGCGAGGCCACCCUUGCCCUGGGGGAGGCUGCCCCUUGCGGCCAUCUACAAGGGCUCGUCGACCUCAUCGGCCACGGGUGAGGGUGGCCUCGCUCACAACCGGCGAGGGCUUGCAGGCCCUUGUCGGCCAUUCCUAGCGGCCAGCAAGAUUGUUGACCCUUUGCAAUGAAAAAAGAAGAAAAAAGAAAAGAAAAUGUGGAUGAAAACUCCUUGACCAGUUGGAAAAUUUAGCCGGCCAACAACCGCCGAACUCGGGCCCUUAUUUGAAACAACAAUGGCUACAUCAGACCCUUAUUUAAAACAACCAAGACCACUUCAAGUCUUUAUUUGAAACAAGGUCUACUUCAGAUUUUUAUUUGAAAAAAUGAGGCACUUCAAGUUAGGGGUGUGCAUGGUCCAGGCGGGCGGUUCCUGAUCUAGAACCGGGAAUCGCCUGCUAAAGACCGGUUCCGAAAAAUUGGAACCGAGAUUCACUUGUUUAUUGCAUGGAUCCACAUGGGAACCGGACUGGCCAGUCCGGUUCCCAGGUGGAUCCAUGGAACCGGUCUUGACGCGAAAUAAUUUUGGUUUUCAACAAAGAACGACUAUGUAACAUCAAGGCAAGCCAAAGAAAGAAAAACCAAAUUUAAGUACGUGGAGAUGCGGACGGUGGGAGAAAUAAACGCAGCAAAAUGGCGAUAGGAUUAGGAGCCGAAGACGAAGGGAGUGAGAUGAGAUCUACGAUUUAUUUUAGUAAUUUUUUUUUUAAUAUUAAAAAGGUUCCAGUCCGGUUCGGGUGGGCGGGCGGGCGGAUCCGCCCAUGGAACUGGGAACCGGACCAUUACCCACCGGUUCCCAUAAAUUGGAACCAGGAACCGGACCAAUUCUCUCAAGAACCGCAAGUUCCGAGCAGUUCCAGUCCGGUUCCGGGCGGUCCGGGCGGUUCCCGGGUAUUUUGCACACCCCUACUUCAAGCCCUUUUUUGAAAUUUUCUCUUUAUUUUAUUUUAGGUUGCAAUUCUUGCCCAUGGACUGAACUAAAAUAUACUCUUUUUCUCUCUCUCUUUUUCCACUUAAAAAAGCCGCUUGAUCAAAUAUGAUUUAUCUUGAGCAAAUGCACCUUGAAUCAAGGGGAAAUGACUUCGCAUUUCUUCAGAAGUCUUCCAAAUAAAGUCAACUAUUAUGCAUCUAAUUUUUUUAAUCAAUAUUUGUUACUAAUAGGUAUUCCAAAUAAAAUCAACUUAAUAAAUUUUCUUAUUUUUAAUUAAUAUUUUUUACAAAUAGGUAUUUCAAAUGAAGUCAACUCAAUAAAUUAGUAAAAAAAUUACAGAAAAACGAAAAAAUUAACUCAACCAAAAUAGAAUAACUACUCAAAGUACCUUUACUUUAAAAUAUAAAUAAGAGUGCACAAAUUGCCAAAACAUCAUUACAAAUGAUAAAUUGAAGAAUUAAAAAUGAUAAAAAUUGAUACACCCCUUCCAUACAAAGGGUGCUCAGACCGUCAACUUUUAUUUAGAGAUCACCGAAACAGUGCUUUACCCCUAGAUGUCCUAGUGCGUUUAAAAUUCUAAACUCAUGGCAAAAGUGUAACUAAAAUUUAAAAUUUUAGAUAAUAUAAUCAAAUCCGAAAAUUUACCAAAUUGAAGCAAUCAAAAUUUAAGAUGCUUAAAAUAUUACUAUAAUAUAAAUCAAUAAUAUGUGUUGUGUUGAAUGCUAAACGCGAGACAAAUCGUUGAUGCAUGAUAUCACUCAUUGAUUGUGUAGAAUUUAGGCAACAUUUUUUCUUUUUUAAUUUGAAACUUAGGCAACAGUUCAAUAAGCGGAUUUGAUAAUUACAACGAUCCCCAUAAUUGUUUCAUCAAUAUGUGAUGGAUGGAAAGUGAAAAAAAAAAUAGAAAAAGGAGUAAAAAGAGAAUAAAUACAUAACAUUUUUUUUCAUAGUGUGGUGUUACUGAACUUGAUGUUGACCGAGAGCAACUAAAUUUCCACAAGGUGUCCAGACUGCAGCAUUAAUUUUACUACAUAUUCUCCUUGGGAGAAAAUAUUGGUUGUGCAGAUUGUGCCAGCGUAACAAAUUGAAAGCUCAUCCAUUGAGCAACAUGUGUUCAUCUUCUUGCCCUCUCUCUAUUCUCCCACUUUUUUGCAAGCCACGGAUGCCUCUCUCCUCCAUAAACCCCUUCUCCUUCGGCCCUCCCCCUCACUUGCACGGGGCACAACAACGUUAUUCAACCCACCUCUCCUUCACUUGAGCUCGACCUUUGUGCCUCCCCCACCGACAACAGUUCCACCAUUGAAAUCUUCCACUGUCCCCGCAGCCCUUGGAUCCAAGAACAAGCCUAAGUCUCCCGUGCUCCUUGUUAUCACUCACGAGCCCAAGUCCCUCCACAUCUUCGGGAUUUGACAAGGGCUCAGUCCUUGCCAGAUUCAGCACGAGCGACCCUUGCCCUAGCUGGGGGCGUCAACCUCAUCGAAUCCUCUUGUCAAAUUCGGCGAGAGCGACCCUGGCUUGUGGGUCAAGUACUGGCCAUAGGUCAAAGGGAAAGAAAGUAAUUAAAAAAAAAGAAGGUAGGAAUGGCAAAGAAGAAGAAGAGAAAUGGAGGUGUGAUUCUGCAAGAGGAGAGAAACAAAGGAAGAAUAGUAUGAUAAGUAAGUUUUUUAGGGACACAUAUCACUCAAUGGAUGGGCUUUCAAUUUGUUGCAUUGGCACAACUUGUGCGGCCAAUAUUUUCUCCAUGUCUUGAUAUGGUUUAAAAAUAAGUAAAUGCUCGGCCCAUGAACGCAUGCGUGUCCAUACACAUGUUUUCACAAUUUUAUUAGUAUCAGCUAUAUGAGAUUGUGCUAUAAAUAUAAUAACGCAAAGAGGCCUAAAAUCGGAAAAGCUCACCUAGAGAAACCCCGCAUUAUCUUGAAUCAAUCCCCUGGAAUGGGAAUGGAAGCUUUCUUGGCAUCGUUUGGUUGAUUGGAGCGAGGUGGAAUGGAAAUAAAAUUGGGAAUAAAUUCAUUACUGCAUUUUUCGUUGACACGUGGGAAAGUGGAAAUGAGCGAUAAGGCAUGGGAAUGAGUUGACAGUCAAGGGUAAAUUGACAUGUGCACUAAGCUUUGUAUUUGGUUACUGUUGUUUGGACAUAAUAUGGCAAACAUACUUACCUAAUUUACUAUUAUAUAGCAAUUUAAAACGAUAAAAUUCCACCCAUUACUACAUACGUUCUAAUUCCAAUGUAUUACCAAAUGCAGUGAUCUUCAAAUCAAUCGCUAUUCUGAUUCACUACAAGCAAUUCCAUUCCCUUCAAAUUAUCUCUUGCUUAUGUAACAAAUGGGCCAAAGAAACAAGUUAAAACUCAUAUGGACAACAUCCUCAUCUAAAAUUAAGAACAUAUCAAAGUGCAUGAACCGCAAAAAUUAAGACCAUGAGCGCACGCAUGUCUAGUCUGUCUAAUUCUAUAUGUAUAUAGUGGUAGAUAUGUCCAAUAUGACCUCACUACGUACAUCCAAUUUCCACUCUGGAAAACGUAAUUAAUUGUUUAGGCUUGUUCUUCGCUACUUAUUUUUCCUCCAAUUGUCUUCAUGUUACCUCUUUUGGAAGCAUUCAGUUGAUCUACAUGCAUUGUUUGGAUAUGAAGAAAUGUUUUAAUAGUUCAGUUUUCAUAAAAAUAUACCAGCUCGAGAUUAUCAAUGGUUCGUGUAUAUGUAAUCUUGUGUACUCAAACUAGCUAAACUCGAAUGAUGUUCCAAUUUGGAUCUAAAAUACCAUUGCCGGAUAAUUUCAAUGGAAUGCCAUCAAAUUGUUUUCCCCUAAUGCUACGUUAAAGUACGUAUUGCAUAACUUAGAUACUUUUACCCAAAAUCAUUCCGAAAAAAAUAUAUCAGGACAAAUUCAGAAGUUUUAUAGGCGAUAAUCGUGGAUUAAUAUAGUUUCGUUCCAUUCUUAUAGGAACUAUCCAAAGGAAUUCAUUUCUUCACGUGGAAAGCAAACUCUGCCUUUUUUAGUCAAUUGUUGACUUGGCUUUUGAUUAAUUAUACAUGACUAAAUUCAUUUUUGCUCAAGGUUUGCUGUUUGACAUAUAAUAUCAAAAAUAUAUUUCAAAACUUCACCGCUACAUAUUUACAAUACCCCGCAACAUUGCACGAGAAGUAGCAAGCUUGUGCGGUUCACAUUCCCCUCUGAGCACCUGGGAAAGCCUACUCUCCCGUCUAAAACUGUACAAUUAAAUUAGGUCAAUAUAUCCAACUUCCAUGAUUUUAGGUAUGUGAAUGUGAAUACACCAGUUGCCAAAUGUAGGAAACAAAAGAAAAAGGAAAUAAGUUAACCACACGGGCAGGAUUGAGAGAUGUGUAUUUUUGCAAGCUACGUAAUGUCUCCGAAUAUAUAGUCAUGAGAUACGGUCCACAAACAAAUGCAAGACCAUACAGUAUCCAUUUUCCCAUUUGGGACACAUAAUCAACUAGGCAUAUUGCUACAUUAUUCAAUUGCAUUCAUUUAACUAUAUGGUAAUUUAGUGUGGGAUGGCGUACACAUUGCAUCAUAUAAUGUACAUGGAAAUUUCAAUAUUGUUACCAGUACCCACAUGAUCUCAUGAGAUAAUAUUUCGAACAAUCUUCUAAAUCUUCUUGAUAUAUAUGCCAUGCACUUGGUACCAAACUAAAAAGCAUUCCGCAACUCUCCCGUUAUAUAAACAUAGUCGACUCGCUAUGUUGUACUUAAUUAGUACGUCUAUAAUGGGGUGUGAUGAGAACGUACCAUUUCGUCUUGAUAUGCUACGAUGGAAAAACAUAUAAAAGACUCCUAAAGACAACCGUUAAGCGUGUUGACAGAACACCGUUGAGCAUGUUGGCAGAAUGUACGCUCAAAGAGAAAGUUUUCAUUUUCUUGUCCCAUUUCCAUCAAAAGAAAAAGAAGCAUUUCAUUUCUCUUUUACGAGAACAAUUGACAUUUACGCUGUGGAAACUUUCCUCGUGAUUGCAUUUAGACCAACGUGAAGUAUUUUUGUUCGUGAUUCAUUCGUAAUUUAACGAUUGUUCCGCAGUAAAUUGUUGACUGCACAUCGAGAAUAGGUAUGUCGUCUUCCGCUGACUUUCUUCCAACACGCUAUAUUACUAUCUUUACGAGAUUUUGGAGAAUUGAAGUCACAAUGUCAUCCAAUAGCAGGGGAUCGAGGAGCAAGAAAAACAUAUUUAGCAAAGCAUGGAACGUGCUCAAGGGGAAACGGGGAUCUCACGAAGCCUCAUCAAGCAGGACCUAUCGGGAUGCCGCCACGUCACCGGCGAGCUCACUGGCAGAGCCUCAAUGGAACUAUUGGGACGCCACCACGUCCCUGGUGAGCUGGAGAUCCUCGAGCAAGUCCCAGUCACGAGCGAGUUCUCGGAAAAGCUUUGAGAAGAGCUCACCGGUCGAGUCUCGGCGGAGAUCCUCGAGCGUCAGUCAAAGCGACGACCAUUAUCACAAUUCUGGUGAAGAAGAUCCAUGGCGAGCAAGCUACAGGCAUGGCGCUCUGGCCUAUUCCGGUGGUUACAAUCAAGGGCAAGUGAGAUCGUACCCGCGACCACCCCAGCAGGAAUAUGAUUAUUCUUAUCACACUAGCAAAGGGCAGUAUUAUUCUCGAGGUCUUGACAAUGUCAAUAGUUACAUCCGCGACGACGCGUCCGUUCCAUCAUUUCUGCCCCCGCAAACUUCUUAUGGUUAUCACCAUCCAUCCGAGUCUCCCUCGAAUAAUUGUGCGGUGAUGUGAGAUGCCUAAUAUAGUGUGGCUAUAGUUGCUAUUUACUAAUAUCCGGUGAAGUACGGGAUGAGCUAGGGGCAUGGUUGAGCCUUUGGUUUGUUAGCUUUCGCUUGUGAAUCUCAGUGAAGUUUCUUGGGAGAUUGAUUGAAAUGGCUUUGCCAGUUAAUGAAGAUUAUAUAUUUAUUUUAUGAAGUUUCAUCUAGUUCGUAGAUGCUAAAAAGUUCUAUUAAAAUUUUACUAAAAUUAAGGGCACUUAAUUCCAUCAAUUGUCUAGGGUUCUACUUCUAUGGAUAGAUGUUCUCUCACCAAUCAUUUAUCACAAAAACUAAACCAAAUGAUAAACGAUUUAUAAAAAUAGUUUAAAAAGAAAAAGAAAAUUGGCCACGCCAUUCUUGAAAAUUCUUCAUUCUUCAAGGAAGACCUUUAAGGAUCCAAGCUUUCUUGUGAUCCUACGUGUUCAAACUUCAAGUAGCUUUGAAUGUGUAGAUAUACAUUGAAAUUCGUCUUUCCAGAUGUUUAUGGCAUCUCCAUUGAGAUGCAUAUACAUGGAGGAGAAACUUUUCAAGCUCAUCCAUUUAAAAAUUGGGCUCCUUGCUUGAUGAAAUUCAGUGGACGAAGACGAGAGAAAGCGUUUCCAGUUAAAAAGAUCAAAACCGAAAAUAUCUCCACUCAGUCCGUCGCAAGUAAUUGAAUUGUUGAUAUAUCGACAUAAUAAUGAAGAAGGAAAUGUUAGAUUAAAUGUAAACUAAAACACGACGAUCCCGAUUAUCAAUCACAAAUAAAUUCAUACAGAAUUCAGGAUCGAUUUGCAAAAACGUAAAGAUCAACAUACCUCCGGCCAUUGAUGAAAAUUUGCAAAAACAGAAAACUUCAAAACCUUAGACGGAUCCACGUAGCACGAUUGAUCUUCAAUAUGGAGAACACUAGAUAUGUACGUCAUGUUCUACUAGCCAUUACCCCUCAAACCUAAUGUGUGUUUUCUAUAGUGAUAGGGUUUGAACUAGAUGAUUUUGUUCCAACUCUUAGACAUCUUCCAUCAAAACCGUUAUUGAUAACUCUAUAAAAAUAGAGUUAUUUGACCUAUUUUAGGCAACAAUUAAUGCAUUAUCUAUGAAAAAAUAUUUGGAUUUCCUUUUGAUUAUUUGAAUUUUCCUUGUUUAUGCAGAAUAAUAAGAUAUGGAGAAGAUAAGGAAAAGAAUGGCAAUUAUCAGUAAUUCAAAUAAAAGCGGUAGUGGAAAAGUGGAAAUAUCAAAUCAGGAAAUUCUUGAUUUUAUUCCCUAAUGUUAUCUAUAAGCAUUGGGAGAUAGAUAUUUUAGAUUUCCUAUAAAUAGGAAGAGAGACAGCUAGGGUUUUUAGGGUUGGAGUUAGAUCGUUUUUCAUUCUUCUGAGAGUUUUUUCAGAUCGUUUUUCAUUCUUCUGAGAGUUUUUUCAAGUAUUUUGAAGAAAAGACAAAAGUGGUGACAGAAUUCUUGUCCUUUGAUUCAAGAUGCUAGGUUUGAUCUAUAUUUUUAUUUUUAUUUCUUAUUCUACUAUGUUCUAAUUUUCUUUUGUUAGGGCUACGAUGUAGCCUAACCAUGAUAAUAUGAAUUUCAUGAUUUUUAUAUUUUACAAUUGAUUUUAUUCAUGUGAGUUAUAUAUUAUUGCGUUUAAUGCUUUUGAAUGACUGGCCACCACUUGAAUGAUUUGAUGUGCAUGUUUGAGACUGAGAGGUGAUAAUAUGCAAUUGCUCAUUAUAAUAUAUAACCAUGAAUUAAACGUGGAUAGAAAUAACCGCGUUAUUUGUGUAACUUUCGGUGAUAAGGUGAUCCAAAAGACUCAUUGUAAACCGGGAAUAUUCAUAGUUUUUAAUGCACUCAUGUUUAUUUUAAUUCACAUAGAGAUAUAGUGGAUUAAUAAGCUGAGUAGGUUUGCUAUACCUAGAGAUAGGAUAGUAAAUAGAUUAGGAAAUUCCGCUAUCACAUGUUUGAUAUCGUUCUUGUAUUCACAAUAAUCUGAAAUUCAUAUCUAGUGGUUAUGGUGAAAUCGGAUGCUUUAACAUAUUUAUCUGAUUGAUUUUAUUGCAUUUAGUCUUCAAGUUUUGUUUUUAAUUUAUUCUAAAUUAUAUUUUGAUUUGUUAGAUAAAUUUUAGAAUUAAUCUAUUUUAGUAUUUCAUUAGUUUAUUAAUCAUCGAUCUCCGUGGGACGAUACUUUUUCUCAUCAUUAUAUUACUUAUUCGAUACGUGCACUUGCGUUUAGAAUUUCACGAACAGUUAUGGUAACAUAUUAACGGGCAAAUAUCACAUAAUAGAUGUGGGUGAUAAAUUGGAAAAUAAAUCGAAACUAAUUGGGAAUAUAAUAUUGGGAUCAUAUUUAGAAUAAUAAAUAUAUUACAACAGGAGAGAGAUUUAUUUAUUUCAAUAGCUUCUUUAGUGAAGAUUAUAGUAAUCUAUUUAUAAAUUUUAUAAAGUGACCAUCCGAAAAAACAAAAUAUUACACAAAGUAAUGACGAUCAAUGAAAACCAUUUGAAAAUAUGCAUAAUCAAAUGAACAUGGUGCACAAUUCUGAGAAAUAUACAAAACCAAUGGCUAUGAAGCACGGACACGUUGCCCGUGCUUCUGUGUCGUGUCUGACAUGUGUCGGAGCGUGUCGGACACGUCGACAUGCUCGGACACGCUCGGACACGCGGUCAACUUUUCUUGACACGCGUGUCAAUGCGUGUCCGGAAGACUCCGGGUGGAGGCGAGGGAGGGGGAGGGAGCAAAGGCCGCGAGCAACGGUGAGAGAUGGCCAGAGAGAGGAAGAGAAGAGGAAGGGAUCGAGGCCCGAGGGGGCGGUGGCGGCGACGGCAUCUCCUCCUCCUCAGCGUCGCGUCCACUCCAUCGUCGGAAGUUGAGAAACGAUACGAGGUGCGAAAGAGGGGAGUGAGGUCUGCUGUCUGCGUGUUUGUCUUGGUCCAAUGUUUUUUGUGCGAGCAGUAGAAGGAGGAAAAAGAGGGUCGCUAGGGUUUGUGAUAAUGGAAUAAAAAAUAAUAAAAAGAGGGGGACGAUGGCGUGUCUUUUGAGUUUUGGGGGAGGGGAAGUGAGGCUAACAGCUUGUCUGUCAGUGGUUUCGGGAGGGAAAAAAGUAAAAUAAGUUUGGGGUGGAGGGAAAUGGACAAAGAAAAGAAAGAGUGGAUUUGGGAAUUUUUUUUUUAUAGAAAAAUUAAAUAAAUGAAAUUGAAAAAUAAUUUCGAAAAGUAAAAGUAUUGAAUUUUGAAUAAUCAUAAAUUUUGAUCAUUCUAAAAAAUCAUGAAUUUAUUAUUAGUUUUAUCAAUAACUUUUGUUAAAAUUAAAAACAUGUUUCGCCUUAAUUAUGAAUAUAUCUUUCGAAUUUUAAAUGAAUUGAUUUAUUAAUAUUAUUAGUAUAAAUUUAUUAUAGGCUUUUUUAAUUAAUUAAUUAUUUAUGAAUUUGAAUCAAAUUAAUUAAAAAUAAAAAUAUACAUUUAAUAUUUAACGCGUCGCAAUGUGUCGGAAUUUUCUAUUUUUUAUAAAUGACGUGUCGACGUAUCGUGUCGUGUCGGACACUCAUGUCGUGUCGCGUGUCCGUGCUACAUAGACCAAUGGAGAUUAAAAGAAUCUACCUUAUAUAAAGACAUAGAAGAAGUCAAUUGUAGAAUAUAUUAGUAGUCUUAUCAACCAAUGAAGUGGAGACAAGAUGCACAAUGUCAUGAAGCACGUGAAACGAUAGUUUCUUUCAAUAUGUUUGGUGCUUUCAUAAAAAAAUAUAUAUUAUUAUAUGCUGUUCGGGUCCAAUUGUCAUGAUAAAUAAGUAUUAUGUUGUUAAGAUGACACCUAUAUGUCUUUUAAUAACCAUUACAAAUACAAUAAUUUUGAUGUUGUAUUAGCAAAAGUGUGAUAUUCAGCUUUCAUGCUAGAUGAAGCGACGAUGGUCUAUUUAUUGUUAUGCUAUAAGAUAAGUGAGUUACUUAGAAAGAAACAAUAGCCUGUAGUGAAGUAAUCAUCAAGAGCGUCUCCUGCCCAAUGAGUGUCCGAUUUAGUUAAAAAGAUUGACUAAAAACUGAUCUCCACCCUAUCCAUUGAAAGCAGGUGAAUUACUUAGUUCAAUGGAAGAACCGCUACAUGAAUAAUGGGUAAGGGAGUCUAUCUCGGGAAAUAAACUACGAAUCCAUUAAGGCUCCCUUCAUUUUGUGAAACACAAUUUCCAGAAAAAGUAUUUUUUGGAUUUUUCGAUAUUCCUUUCCUGAAAAAUGAAUUAAUCGAGGAAAACAUUUUCCAUCAGCAAAAAAGAGUUUUCUAAAAUAGAGAAAAAAAUUUCUACAUUUCAAGAUGAAGAAAACAUUUUUCUUACUCAUUUUCUCUUAUCUCAUACCUAUGUUAACCUUUUCAUCUUUUUUCCUUAAAAAAUCAAUUUUUUAAUUAUUUUUCUUUUCUUUUUCUUGUUUUUCUCUUUCGAGCUCGAGACUCAUUGGAAUUUGGCAAGCCUUAAGCUCGCCUACGGCCAAUCGCUGGCCAUCACCGUGGUGGAUCAAAGAAGAAGAAUAUAAAAAUAAAUAAAAAUAAAUAAUAAAUAAUAAAAAUAAUUUAAAAAUCGAUUUUAAGAAAUAAAAUAAAUAAAAAAUUAUUGAAAAAGAGUGCAUGGAGGAAAAAAUUUUCCUUACCAAAUAAUAGAAAAUAUUUUAUAAUUCAUUUUCAAAUUUCAGCUGCAAACUACAAAAUAUGGCUAUCUUCUUGAAAAAUGGCUUCUAGAAAAAAAUUUCUGGAAAUGCUACAUUUUUCAUGAAACAAAUAGAAUCUUAAUUGAAAAAUGAUUCGUUCGACAUAGCCUGGAGCUAGGUCUCUCUGUCCAUUGGGCAACCAGGAAUGCAACCCUAAAGUGCCAUUAUUAUUAUUUUGCCCCCGAUUUCAAAUGCAAGUAGGCCUUCUAUUUAUUUUAGGGAAAAUUCCAAAAAAGGGGCUCGAAGUGUUCUUAUUUUCUUAAAUAAAAGCUCGAAGUAGACCUUGUUUCAAAUAUAACGCCUGAAGUGCCAUUAUUUUAUCGAAUAAGGGACUGAAGUGAAUAUUGUUUUAAAUAAGGGCCUGAAAUUACUAUGCCAGUUUCAAAUAAUAGCCUAAAGUAAUUAUGUCAGUUUCAAAUAAGAACUUUCUCUUCUUCUUUUUUUCUUUUUUCUCUCCUUUUUUUUUUGUUCUUCUUCUUCCUUUUUGCCAAUGACCGAAGGGUUGGGCGAGGGUCAUCGUUACCCGAUUCAAUGAGCGCCACCCAUGUCGGCCACAAAUGAGGAAUGGCCUCACCUGGGCAAGGCCACCCUUGCCUUGGGGGAGGCUGCCCCUUGCGGCCAUCUACAAGGGCUCGGUGACCUCAUCGGCCACGGGCGAGGGUGGCCUCACUCACAAUCGGUGAGGGCUUGCAGGCUCUUGUCGGCCGUUCCUAAUGGCUAGCAAGAUCAUUGACCCCUUGCAAUGAAAAAAGAAGAAAAAAGAAAAGAAAAUUUGGAUUAAAACUCCUUGAUCAGUUGGAAAAUUUAGCCAGUCAAUAACCGCCGAAGUCAGGCCCUUAUUUGAAACAACAAUGGCUACAUCAGAUCUUUAUUUAAAACAAUCAAAGCCACUUCAAGUUUUUAUUUGAAACAAUAUCUAUUUCGAAUUUUUAUUUAAGAAAAUGAGGCACUUCAAGUCAUUUUUUGAAAUUUUCUCUUUAUUUUAUUUUAGGUUGCAAUUGUUGCCCGUGGACUGAACUAAAAUAUACUCUCUCUCUCUCUCUCUCUUUCCACUUAAAAAAGCCGCUUGAUCAAAUAUGAUUUAUCUUGAGCAAAUGCACCUUGAAUCAAGGGGGAAAUGACUUCGCAUUUCUUCAUAAGUCUUCCAAACGCAAGUGCUCAUUUCAACAUUUGCAUCAAGAUUUCUAACCUUUCUGUUUCGAGAAACUAUAGUUACUGCGAUUUUUCUUUUCGUUUUUUAUUUUUUAAAAAAAAGUCAAAGCCACACGGUGCAUCACGUUGACCCAUCAUCAGUCAACGCAUGCCGAUCGGCAGGCGCUGUCCAUGUCCCGACCUCAUCGUCAUAAGCGACUAAUGUAAACCAAGCGACAACCAUCGAUCUUCGAAGGAGAAGACUUCACAGAUUGGGGCUUCUUCCGUCGGCGAUCGUCUUCACUUCCUCUCCAAAUCGCUUCCGUCUUCUCCAGGCACCCUGAAAAUUCCCCAUGGCGACGGCGCUUGUCGGCGGAGCAUUUCUCUCCGCUUUCCUCCAGGUGCUCUUCGACCGGAUGGCCUCCCGCGAGGUCGUCGACUUCUUCCGGUCACGCAAGCUCGGCAAGGGGAGGCUGCUGCAGAAGCUGGAGGUCGCCCUCCUGUCCGCGAACGCCGUGCUGGACGACGCGGAUGAGAAGCAGAUGACCAACGACUCCGUCAGGAAGUGGCUCGACGAGCUCAAGGACGCCGUGUACGACGCCGACGACCUGUUCGACGAGAUCGCCGCCGAGGAUCUGGAGCGAGAAGCCGGGUCCGACCCUCGGGCCCUCGCUUGUAAGGUCUGCAGCUUCGCUUCGGACGCUUGUGCGAGUGGACUAGGAGAUAAGUUAGAGAAGGUUCUGGAGAGAUUGGAGAGCGUGGUGAAGCAGAGAGAAGUGCUGGGCCUAAGGGAAGGUAUUCGCGAGAGGACGCCUAGAGCUUUGCCGACCACUUCGUUGGUCGAGGAAUCGGGCGUCUUCGGGAGGGAGAAGGACAGGGAGGCGGUGAUCGAGUUGCUCUUGUCGGAUCGGGGUGAAAAGAACACCAGCGUGAUGGCCAUAGUUGGGAUGGGUGGUGUUGGUAAGACCACGUUGUCCCAGCUCGUGUUCAACGAUAGUGCGGUGAAGGGGAGUUUCGAGUUGAGGUCGUGGGUUUGCGUGUCCCACCAAUUCGACAUCUGCAAGCUGACGGCGACGGCUCUCGAGGAAUUCUCCUCUUCCAAGAAGGAGACGGAAAAUCUCAACCAGCUUCAGCUCCAACUGAAGAACUUCUUGACAGGGAAGAAAUUCCUAUUGCUGUUGGAUGAUGUUUGGAAUGAGGACUCAAAUAUUUGGAAUGCGUUCCUAGUUCCUUUUAGCUAUGGAGCAAGAGGCAGCAAAAUCAUCGUGACACCAAGAAAUGAGGGCGUCGCAUUGGUUGCUCGUGCCUUCUCGACAUACUAUUUACAGAAGUUACAAGACAAGGAAUGUUGGGACUUGUUCGCACAACAUGCAUUUGAAGAGCAUAACUUCGAGGCGCACAUGAGACUUGAAGAUAUUGGGCAAAGAAUUGUUAAGAGAUGUGAUGGAUUGCCUCUUGCACUGAAGACUAUAGGUAGCUUGUUACGCUAUGAGUCUGAUAUCAGGAAGUGGGAAAUAAUUGCAGAGAGUGAUAUUUGGGAUUUGGCACCUGGAAAGAAUGAAAUUCUCCCUGCGUUGUUGUUAAGUUAUCAUUACCUUCCUCCACAACUGAAGCAAUGUUUUUCCUACUGUUCAAUCUUCCCAAAGGAUUGUAGAUAUGAGAAGGACCAACUGAUCUUACUUUGGAUUGGUGAGGGCUUGAUAAAACAACCUAAGGACAGCAGGACAUUAGAGGAAGUAGGUGAUCAGUGCUUCUGUGAUCUAGUGUCUAGAUCUUUGCUUCAUAGAGUAAGCAACGUUGAAUCAAGUUUCUGGAUGCAUGAACUGGUCAAUGACUUAGCAAGAUAUGUAGCUGGUCGAUCUUUUUAUAGCUUGGACAGAGUCAAUUCCCACCAGGUGUCCUCAAGCACUCGCCAUUUGUCAUUUGUAAGAACUCGAUAUGAUGUCGCUUCUAGAUUCGGAGUGUUAGCCGGGGCAAUGAAUUUGCGUACUUUCCUGCCACUAAACGUGGAUCACGUGACAUCUAACGCGUACUUUUUCUUGACUGAUGAGGUACUGCAUGUUCUGUUGCCGACCUUGAGUCGGUUAAGGGUGCUAUCUUUGUCUCAUUAUCAGAAACUCUCUAUGUUGCCCAGUUCAGUUGGAUGUUUGAAGCAUCUGCGCUAUUUGAAUCUCUCUUAUAAUAGAAGUCUAGCCAGAUUGCCUGAUUCAAUUACUGCUCUAUACAACUUGCAAACCUUAAUUCUUGCUUACUGUCAGUCUCUCAUUGAGUUACCAAGAAACAUGGGUAGCCUAACCUGUCUGCAUCAUCUUGAUAUAAGGGAGACAUUCCUGAAGAGAAUACCGUUGGGGAUGAGCAAACUGAAGAAUUUGCAGACAUUAACUAAUUUCGUGGUGGCUGAAAACGGUGGGACCAGGGUUAGGGAACUAGGGGAGCUUGGGAAUCUUAUGGGUACACUCUCCAUAUAGGGUUUGCAGAAUGUUGAUAGUUACCAAGAUGCAGAGAUAGUCGAUUUGCAGGGAAAAAGGUACUUGAAAAAGUUAGUACUGGAAUGGGGUUCUGAUAAAAAUAUUAUGCAGCAAAAUUGCUUAAAUGUAUUGGACAAGCUGCAACCUCAUUGGAACUUGACAGAGCUUAUCAUUAUAUCCUAUAGUGGUAAGUCGUUCUCUGAUUGGCUAGGACAUGGUUCAUUCUCUAAUAUGUCAGUCAUGCGUCUUGAAUCUUGCAAGCACUGUGUGUCGUUGCCUCCUUUAGGACAGCUACCAUCUCUAGAGAAGUUGAUAAUCAAAGGAUUUGAUGGAGUUACAAGUGUGGGUACUGAAUUCAAUGGUAGUAACUGUAUACCUUUUCAGUCACUUAAGUACUUGGAAUUUGCUGACAUGUGCAGUUGGAAAGAGUGGGCUUCUUUUGCAAUAGAGACGGGUGGUCUUGCCUUUGCACAUCUGCAUGAGCUUUGUAUUAGAAAUUGCCCCGAGUUGAGUGGAGGUUUGCCCAACCAUCUCCCUUCUCUAUCAGCCUUGUCCAUUGAAAAGUGUCCACAGCUAACGUCUUCUCUACCAUUUGCACCACUUCUUCGUAAGAUCAAUUUGGAUGAUUGUGGAAAGGUUUCUGGAGUUGAGCCUCUCCUAAAUGGCACUGAGUUACGAGAUAUGGAAAUCAAGAAUCUUUCAACCCUUCCCUUGAGGUUUCUUCCUCCUACCAUGAUAAGACUCAAUCUUGAAGACAGUCAUGAAAUAGAGUUGCCAAUACAUAGAUGCCAUGAAUCUCUCCAAUAUCUAAACUUGAAGCAGAGCUGCGAUUCACUUAUAUCCAUUCCUCUGGAAAUUUUCCCCUCACUUAAGAAUAUUCAGUUAGUGGAGAUUCAAAAAUUGGAACAUCUUUCAAAUUCAGACAGUUCUCCACUUCUUCUCCAUUCGAUGAACAUUAGUGAUUGCCUUGAAUUUAGAUCUUUCCCUGCGGGAGGAUUGGUUGCCCCACGCCUCACUUCAUUAGAGUUGAAUGAUUGUCAUCAUCUAAAGUAUCUGCCAGAAAACAUGCAUGCUCUCCCUCCUUCGCUUCGGUCACUGAAAAUAUCCUCAUGUCCACAACUCGAGUCAUUUCCCGAGCAGGGUUUGCCCUCCAAGUUGGUUGCGCUUUCACUCUCUAAUUGUGACAAGCUCAUCACUGGCCGCAAGGAUUGGGGUCUUCAAUCACUAUGCUCUCUUAAAACUUUUGUCAUUGAGCAGGAGAAAAAUAUAGAGUCAUUUCCUGAGAUAGGGCUUCUACCAAGCUCUCUUACCUCUCUGUAUAUCUUUAACUUUGAGAAUCUGACAUCCCUGAACUCCAAAGGGCUUCAUAGCCUGAGCUCCCUUGAAAAAUUGUUCAUUGGCGAAUGUCCUAAGCUCCAUUCCUUCCCAAAGGAGGAACAAAUUCUGCCUGCUUCUCUUACCACUCUGUUGAUUUAUGAUAUGGAUCUAAAAUCACUAGACAACUUAGGGCUCCACCACCUCACUUGUCUCAAAACCUUUCACAUAAUUGACUGCCGAAGUCUUCGAUCCAUGCCAGUUGAGGGCUUGUCAUCCUCCCUUUCCAAUCUAUUUAUCUAUGGGUGUCCUUUUCUGGAGAAAAGAUGCCAACGCAAGAAAGGGAAAGAUUGGCCCCUAGUUUCUUACAUUCGCUGCAUCGUGAUUGAAGAUGUGCUCAUCACAUAAUCGAAUAUCUUGCUUUACAAGCCCUGCAUUUACCAAGAUCUCACUAGGGUAUCUCUCUUGACCCUACACUAAGUAAGCCAUUUAUAUAUUCACAACAUGCUUCAGUCGCACUGUGGUCAAGCAGUACCAUCUGGCUGUAUUUGCCGCAAGCCACUCUGGUAACACUCCACAAUGGAAGUUAUUUGUAGUUUCACCAGCUUUCCAUUCUUGUUCCUACUAUCGGGCUGCAUGAUUUGUUUAUCGGUUGCCGAGUUAUUUAGCUGGAUCAUCUGUUUUUCAUUUGUUUAUUGGUUGCCGAUUUAUUUAGUUGGAUCAUCUGCUUUUCCCCUUCUCCAUUCUCUCUAUAUAAAUCACACUCCCAUACUUCAGCUGAGCAUCUGUCACGGUCCUUUAUACUCUCACUGGAAAUGAUAAUUCCAUUGGUUACUUUUUGGUCAUCAUCAAGUUAUUUCAGCUUUAGAACCUCACUCCAUAUCACCGAUUGUCACACCUACAAAUGCCAACUCAUGGAACUGUUUGUGCAUGAGCUAACUAAUGUAAAUAGAGCAAAGAGAUUCGUGGCCAUAUGAAGAAGGCCUAGCCUUGAUUAGGCUAUCCAGAUGAAAUUAUUUUUUCACAAACCCUGUGGCACAUCCUCAAGUUAUAGAGAGAGUAAAUUUGCUCUUAUUGACAGAUGCUUUCUGUUGUCUAAAGCCUUAUAAUAUUGCAAGGGAGACAUAAAUUCUUAAGGACAGGCAUGACUCAUGACUGACCUCUAUUCCACUUGCCAGAACAGUGUGGUAUCGUGGGUGUAGUAUAUUUCUGUUUGCUUUGUAUUUUUAUUUGUCCAUUUCAGCUUAACAUCACUCUAAUGCUGUACAGUUUAACAAUUUCCCUGCCUACACGUGGAAUUCUGAUCCAUAGAAUGUGAAAAUUGAACAGUAUUAGAUGCAAGUGACCCGGCAUUUUGUAGUGGCAUAUCCACUUUUGUCACUAAUUAUAUCACGACAUCAACUAAAUCCAAACUGAAGGACUAAAAAUGCAAUUCGAUCAAAAUAUAUGGACCUAUUGUAACUUACCCUAUUUUGAGAGAAUAUCGUUACUUUCGAGUAGACCUGUUAAACGGGUGGGUUGGGUCGGGUUUGGGUCGGGUCAUAAAUGG